GUUUUCUUUCUUUUUUUGUUCUAUAUUUUCUCUUAGCAUUGAACCAUUUUUUUAAAAAUGUGUGGCUGGUCUACAAAAUCAGUUUGCAAUAUACUUCACUGCCUCAAACAGUUUGGGAGUCAUUUUAAUCAAUUUGGAAUUUUGAUAAAUUAUAAAACAAUUUAAAUGUUGUUUUGGGCACUGCUUUAAUGAGGUUAAGGCCUUUAAUCAAUUUAUAAAACGUUGGUUUCUCCACCACAAUUAACUUUGCAUUAUUUGGUACAACCGGGACAUUUUAGUUUUAAAGUUUGAAAACUCUUACCAUUUGACUUGUUUUUGACUUUUGAUUUCGAACGGGAUUGAAUUGUCAUGAGUUUAACAACAGUAAUCGCGGUGACGUGUCAUCAUUAACAGGGAAUUACUGUAGCUUAACUAUCCGAGCGUCACAAUUCUCCUCCACUACAAGAAAUCGCGUCCCGAGAUUUAGGAGGGGAGUAAGGGGGAAGGGAUUGGGUUACGAAAAAUCUGACGGAUCUUCUCAGUCUUGGUUGCUCUUCUUGAAUAGGUCGAUCCAUUACAUUGACGUCUUCAUUUCUCUACUUCAGGUCAUCAUGGUGAAUUCGUCCUUUUCUUCGGGAACUCCAACGUACUUACGAAUAGGUAAGGGGCAACUCAGCUACGACAGAAUGCUUUUGAGGGAAACAAUCUGGGGUUAACCUAUGAAAUGAGCAUAAGAUUAUCUCUCGAGUUGAACAUAUAAAAUACAUCGAGAGUAAGGUAUGAAGGUACAAUAAGAGGUUCCAAGCGGAUAGAUAGUUGCUCGAAGUCUGAACCAGAGUGAGAAAGGGUUUCAGAGCAGCGGAAGUAAGUAUUGCGUCUAACACCAGAAUAGAGCACUAGGAAGGUGGCUCGUGAAUUAAAUACGAAGCCAAGCGUGGGGAAUAACCAUUAGAAAUAGGGUUGUACAGGAGAGUCAGGUUUCAAUCCUGUGGAACUGUGGGUUAUGGGCCCAUCAUGUGGGUUAAAAGUAGGAAGGGUGGUGACAUCUUGCACGAGCAUGUAAACAAGGCAUGUCAGAGGAUAGUUUGUCGGUUAUGUCGGCAACAACAUCGGUACCAAGGGCGAGGGAUGAAGAGAACCAUUUUCCUGCUCGUUGAACGAGGCGGGCCAUUAGGCAAAGUUCUCGUCCAUCGGCGGUUGCCGGAAUGUCAUCAACAGUAGAAACAUGGUUUCACUGACAGAGUUGUACACCAAGGUGUUUACAUAAGCAGUGAAUUAUUACUGCUUAGAUUAUAUAUAUCACAAGAAAGGUCAAACAAACCAAUGGAAAGGAAAAUGUGAUCAUCAAGUUAAAUAGAAAAAUGGAAAGGAAAAAUGUGUUUAAACACAUAUUUCAGGGGUAUAUCCUUCCCAAGGACAAGCGAAGCAUGAUAUCCAUGACAGGAUAUUAUGUAGAAAACUCCUUAGGUAGGGGAUAGAAAUUUCAUGACAUUACCCAUACAACGGUGUUUGGAUAAUUGAGCAAGAAACAUUUAGCAUUGGGCUUCAAAUGUCCUUGUUGAAAACCAGAGUAUCACAGACAUGCUUCGAGAUAGCAUUGACAUGGUCACUGGGUAAAAAUCUGACUUUGGAUACUCGAAGGAUCCAUCAGGAACAACUCAUAGAAUAAGUUUUGCAAUAGGUCCUCCCACCAGGUGUGCUAGGCAUGCCAUCACCUUAUUGGGUUAUAGAAAGACCAAUGCUAUGACUCUUGGAAAAUGUUCCAACCAUCAUAUCUGACCGAGUUUCAGAUCUGGUUGGUGUCAGGAUACCUCGGACUUAGGAUGCCUGAGAAGAAAAGGUGCAACACAAAUUGACGAGAUGACAAUGCAAGAUUCUUGGGAAAUGAACUAUGGGAGCGAGUUCCAAAACAAGAGUUCAUCAUUAAACCAAGGAGAGGAUGAGGAGGUGGCUGAUGGUCUCAGCGACAAUUCAUCAAGAAUUCCAACAAGAAAGAUUUCCACAAUUAUGUGAACAAUGAGAUAACAUUUGUCAGAUCAAAUGGUAUAAUGAAGUAUGCUCGAGGAAAACAUACACCAUUAACCAUUGGUUGGAAGGUGUAAGGUGUACCCAUAAUAUGGGCUUAGGUAGCAUGAUUAAUGUUUAGAAUGGUGAUUCAAUAACCAAUACACAAAGAAUGAAACUAUCGUUCAUUAUCUUACAAGCAAUAAGGUUGCUAGUAAUUUUGAAUUUUACACAUCAUAGUUCGAUCAUCGGUAUUCCGGUUGGAAACAACACGGGGACCAAGAGAUGAAUGUAGAUGGCGGGAUGUAUCACUUGUACCAAGAAUUCUUAAGAGGUGGUGAAAUUCUCACAACAUUCUUGAUAUAUAAGAUGGUAUUACUUCAAGGUAGGACAUAAGACAAGUUGGAUUGCCAGGAACUCAAGGUACAACCACCACACGAACAAGUUUGUGUUGGAAAGAAGGCAAGGAAGUAGUCGAUGAAAACACAUAUCAUCGAGGGGCAAGGAUGGUAAUUCUCAUCAUGAAUUUGAUUGAUAUUCUGGAAGAGCUCAGAAUGUUGAUAAUGAUCAUGACACAUUUGUCGAGAGAUUACCUGAAGAUGUAAUCGAACAGCAAUGACAUCGAGUUAAUGGAAUGAUGAAGCAAGAGGUUAUUGGAACCAGGGGUACAACACAAACUCGAAACCAAGCUUGUUGUCCGAGGUGGAAUGAUAAGACAAGGAAAUCAACGUAAGCUUAGCUCAGCGUAAAAAAAUUGUGUACCGGGAAGAAGGACCAGGUAGCAUAGUUAAGAUUUAGCACAAUAAUGAUAUAGCCGAUCAGGCUAGGAAUGACAUGAUCGAGUAAAAACUCGUAAGUAAAGAAUAUUAGUAAGAGUUGUUGAACCGUAAUGCAGACAUGCUUCAGUUAUCGGUGUCUUUGAGUGUUUAAAAACUCGGAGCCUGUGAAAAAUUGGAAUCAGUGAGGAUGUAGUACUUGAUGAAGAACUCAUAAGAGGUUAUGCAGUUCUGUGAUAAUGUCGAGAUACCAGGGGGUAAUACUCGAUGAUAUAUCAAAAUAGAGGUUGGACCAGGUAUUUCUCUGCAGAAGACAAGUGCUUUUAACUUGUCUGGGAAAUUGAAUCAAAGGGGAACAAUAUGGUCAAACCACAUUUGUAAAUGAUCAAACCAAAGAUACAAGCACUUAUAACAAGGGGGUAACUAAUUUUGUGAGAAGCUUCCAUGAUAAGAUAUGCAUCGUGUCCAUGGGCAUGAACGCAAGGUUCAAGGUCGACUCCCACUUCUUCAAUGCAUAACCUUUCAUUCACUUCUCAUGUUUGAUGAAGUUGCAGUGUUGAAAUUUUAUCUGGCAAAAUACCAGAAGAGUAUGACUCAUGAAAACUUUCGAGUUCACACAUAUUAUGGAAGGCAUAGGUUCAACCCAUCGGGGCAUCGUGGAAACAUAUACCACAAGCUUCAAUAGUAAAUAUCACCAGCUCAAAAGCAGAGCAUGGUUGGCCAAAUCAAGGAAUAGGAUUUACCGAAGGCAUUAUGUAUCAGGGAAAGAACUUCCAAAGUGAUUGAAUAUGAAGAACAUUAUCGGAUAAAAUCCAACAAGGUUCUGAUGGUCCAUAAAGGAUCUGAUGUGAGUAUCGGCACACAACCAGAGGAAGAAUCAAUGCAAAGACCUUGGAUUGUAGAAACAACUGAGUAACUUAGAGCUCAAUUGCAAAGGAAUUAUGAUUUACAAAGCAAAGGAUCAGAAGCAGACGCUUUGAUCAAGGAUGGAUAAGUUCAUUAGACAUAGGGGCACAAUCGACGACAAUUUGAUUGGCAAGAACCAGCUCACGUUUAAAAUGACGUCUGAGCCGGAAGGACGAAUUCUAGGAUCUGAUUGAGGAUUGCGAGCAUUAGCAACAAAUUGAAUCAACGGACUAAAAAUGAUAAUGACAAGAGAUGCCAAUAAGAUUACGAGACUUAUGUGAUUAACCAUAAUGCAAGCAAGCAAGAAUUUCAAGAGCAAGAGGAUGCUCAGGAUUUUUGGAAGAUCGAAUGGUAUUUCAAAAACUUUUGUGAAACACAUGAACAACUAGGAAAGAGCGGAUACUCGAUAAGUCUGAGGAAUUAUCCGUAAGGGUAUUCAUGAGGCAAGAACUGUAAAUCAGUAAGCUCAAAGGAUUCUUGGAACAACGGAGAGCGGUUUGGGGCAUCUUGUAUCAACAAGAUCAACGUGGAAUAAAAUUAAGAACGACCGGUGUAAGUAUUUAUCCAUAGGGAUAAAUCAGUGGUAGGGAAUUGCCAAAGCAACGAGCACAAAGUCUCGAGAACAUCAAAGAGUAUCUUUGAAAUCCUUCGGUGCACCAAGCAAUCAUCUGGAGUGAGGGGCUCUCCGGGAGGAAGUAGUUACGAGAACCUAGAGUCAGAUUUAGUAAAAUCAUUUCACCCGAAUAGAAGAGAGGUCAGAGUCCCAGAGUAUAGGUCGAGGAAUAAAAGAUCCUAAUACCACCCAAUGGCGACAUGGGCCCGUAAGGCACACAGCCAUGUUAGUAAAAGUUUUGUAAUGUCUAGACUUGACUUCGGCUAAGGAGUGUGGAAGGGGGAUUCCUACAGGCAGUCGGCUCUGAUACCAACUUGUGACGCCCUCAAUUUGACCGUACACUAAUCAUAAACGCAAAUGUGUACGAUCAAGAUCAGGGACUCACGGGAAGAUAUCAAAACACAAUUCUACAAAUAAAAUAAGUCAUACAAGCAUCAUAUUACAAGCCAGGGGCCUCGAGGGCUCGAAUACAAGAGCUCGAUCAUAGACGAGUCAACGAAAGCAACAAUAUCUGAGUACAGACAUAAGUUAAACAAGUUUGCCUUAAGAAGGCUAGCACAAACUGGGAUACAGAUCGAAAGAGGCGCAUGCCUCCUACCUGUGAUUCUCCUAAACUACUCCUGGUCGUCGUCAGCGGCCUGCACGUAGUAGUAGGCACCUACCGAGUAGUAGUAGUCGUCAUCGACUAUGGCGUCUGGCUCCUGGGCUCCAUCGUCUGGUCGCAACAAUCGAGUAUAGAAAAGGGGGAAAAGGGGAAGCAAAGCUACCGGGAGUACUCAUCCAAAGUACUCGCAAGCAAGGAGCUACACUACAUAUGUAUGCAUUGGUAUCAAAUGGAAAAGGGGUAUCAUAUGUGGACUGAACUGCAGAAUGCCAGAAUAAGAGGGGGAUAACUAGUCCUGUCGAAGACUACGCUUCUGGUAACCUCCAUCUUGCAGCAGUAGAAGAGAGUAGAUGGUAAGUUCACCAAGUAGCAUUGCAUAGCAUAAACCUAACCAAUGAUCCUCACUUCGUCACCCUGUGAGAGAGCGAUCACCGGUUGUAUCUGGCACUUGGAAGGGUGUGUUUUAUUAAGUAUCCGGUUCUAGUUGUCAUAAGGUCAAGGUACAACUCCGGGUCGUCCUUUUACCGAGGGACACAACUAUUUGAAUAGAUCAACUUCCCUGCAGGGGUGCACCACAUUUCCCAACACGCUCGAUCCCAUUUGGCCGGACACACUUUCCUGGGUCAUGCCCGGCCUCAGAAGAUCAACACGUCACAGCCCUACCUAGGCACAACAGAGAGGUCAGCACGCCGGUCUAAAUCCUAUGGCGCAGGGGUCUGUGCCCAUCGCCCAUUGCACACCUGCAUGUUGCGUACGCGGCUAGUGAGCAGACCUAGCAACCUCCAUUACAAAGGAAGUUGCGUAACGCGGUCCAACCCGGCGCGCGCCGCUCAGUCACUGACGUCACGAAGGCUUCGGCUGAUACCACGACGUCGAGUGCCCAUAACUGUCCCCGCGUAGAUGGUUAGUGCGUAUAGGCCAGUAGCCAGACUCAGAUCAAAUACCAAGAUCUCGUUAAGCGUGUUGAGGGAGUCCUGGAUUAGGGGGUCUCCGGACAGCCGGACUAUCUCUAUUGGCCGGACUGUUAGACUAUGAAGAUACAAGAUUGAAGACUUCGUCUCGUGUCCGUAUGGGACUCUACUUGGCGUGGAAGGCAAGCUAGGCAAUACGAAUAUGGAUAUCUCCUCCUUUGUAACCGACCUUGUGUAACCCUAACCCUCACCGGUGUCUAUAUAAACCAUAGGGUUUUAGUCCGUAGGACAACAAUCACAACAUACAAUCAUACCAUAGGCUAGCUUCUAGGGUUUAGCCUCUCUGAUCUCGUGGUAGAUCUACUCUUGUACUACCUAUAUCAUUAAUAUUAAUCAAGCAGGACGUAGGGUUUUACCUCCAUCAAGAGGGCUCGAACCUAGGUAAAACAUCGUGUCCCCUGCCUCCUGUUACCAUCCGGCCUAGACGCACAGUUCGGGACCCCCUACCCGAGAUACGCCGGUUUUGACACCGACAUUGGUCCUUUCAUUGAGAGUUCCUCUGUGUCAUCUCUGUUAGGCUUGAUGGCUCCUACUAUCAUUGAUAGCGAUGUGGUCCAGGGUGAGACUGUUCUCCCCGGACAGAUCUUCGUAUUCGGUGGCUUUGCACUGCAGGCUAAUUCGCUUAGACUUCUGGAGCAGAUUGAAAGCUACGCCCCUGGCCCUCAGGUCAGAUUUGGAAGUUUGAACUACACGGCCGACAUCCACGGAGACUUGAUCUUCGACGGAUUCGAGCCGCAGCCGGACGCGCCGCACUGUCACGAUGGGUAUGACCUAGCUCUGCCGCCGAGCAGUACCCCAGAGGUCGCACCCUCAUCAGCUCCGACCCUUAGCUUGGAGCCAACUGCGCCAAUCGAGGAUGGGUGGUUAGACACCGCCUCAGGGGCUGCAGUCUCAACGGCGAUUGAGCCGAACACCAGCCUAACCCUCUGCGCAGCCCGUGACUCCAAGGUGCUGGACUCUUUUCCGGACUCCGAACCAUCCGCGCCCCUGCCAAUUGAAUCCGAUUGGGUGCCGAUCAUGGAAUUCACCGCCGCGGAUAUCUUUCAGCACUCGCCCUUCGGUGACAUUAUGAAUUCACUAAGGUCUAUCUCUUUGUCAGGAGAGCCCUGGCCGGACUAUGGCCAACAGGAUUGGGAUGCGGACGACGAAGAAAUUCGACGCCCACCCACCACCCACUUCGUAGCCACUGUCGAUGAUUUAACCGACAUGCUCGACUUCGACUCCGAAGACAUCGACGGUAUGGAUGACAAUGUAGGAGACGAACAUGAACCAGCGCCUAUAGGGCACUGGAAAGCCACCUCGUCAUAUGACAUAUACAUGGUGGAUACACCCAACGAAGGCAAUGGCAACGAGAUAGCGGAGGAUGACCCCUCCAAGAAGCAACCCAAGCGCCGACGUCAGCAGCGCCGCUCUAAGUCCCGCCAAAGCAAAAGUGGUGAUACCGGCACAGGAGAUAAUAACACUCUGGAUAGUGCCGAAGACAACAACAAUCCCCUCCAGCAAGAUUUGGAGCAGGAGGAUGAAGGAGUCAGCUCUUCUGAGAGAGCGGCAGACAGAGAGGAGAAGGAUGACAAUUACAUACCCCCCUUCGAAGACGAGGCAAGCCUCGGCGACGAUGAAUUCUCCGUACCAGAGGAUCCCGUCGAACAAGAGCGCUUCAAGCGCCGGCUUAUGGCCACGGCAAAUAGCCUAAAGAAAAAGCAGCAGCAGCUUCAAGCUGAUCAAGAUCUGCUAGCUGACAGAUGGACUGAAGUCCUCACGGCUGAGGAAUAUAAACUCGAGCGCCCCUCCAAAAAUUACCCAAAGUACAGGUUACUACCCCGACUGGAGGAAGAAGCGUAUGAUACGGCUGAUCGGCCACCUCGUGGCCGAGGCAUUCCAGCCAAAAGCUCAGCCUACGCCCCGACGCCAUUCAAAUAAAAAGGCAUGGUGAGGGAGUCCUGGAUUAGGGGGUGUCCGGAUGGCCGGACUAUACCUUCGGCCGGACUCCUGGACUAUGAAGAUACAAGAUUGAAGACUUCGUCCCGUGUUCGGAAGGGACUUUCCUUGGCGUGGAAGGCAAGCUUGGCGAUACAGAUAUGUAGAUCUACUACCAUUGUAACCGACUCUGUGUAAACCUAUCCCUCUCCGGUGUCUAUAUAAAUCGGAGAGGUUUAGUCCGUAGAGACAACAACAAUCAUACCAUAGGCUAGCUUUUAGGGUUUAGCCUCUCUGAUCUCGUGGUAGAUCUACUCUUCUACUACCCAUAUCAUCAAUAUUAAUCAAGCAGGACGUAGGGUUUUACCUCCAUCAAGAGGUCCCGAACCUGGGUAAAACAUCGUGUCCCCUGCCUCCUGUUACCAUCCGACCUAGAUGCACAGUUCGGGACCCCCUACCCGAGAUCCACCGGUUUUGACACCGACAUUGGUGCUUUUAUUGAGAGUUCCUCUGUGCCGUCGCCCUCAGGAAGGAUGCCUCAUCCCGUCUUUAAAGACGGCACCGUUGCUAAGGGAGCUUUGGCUGUCGGCCAAACUCUCCGGCUAGGCGGUUUCCUUAUGACCGCAUGUUCGGCUGCUGCGCCGAUGAUGACCUCUCGGGUCAUCAAAAGCAAUCUUCACGUCAGCUUGGAAUUCGCCGAGCAGCUAGAUCCAAUGGAGCUCUCUUCCCUAAACGAGCUCUUGGAUCGCAUCACCUCCCUGGGAGUCACUACGGAUUACGACCAGAUUGGGCCUAAACCCGAUCUGAGAGAGUUUAACUCUCCCCAGGUCACCCAUCACGUUGCCGUGGUAGAGGGACAGUGCGGCGACCCUUCAUCUAUCUUAAGGACUAUCUAUGUCUGGAUUCCCGAUCCCUCCAAGCCGGAUACCCGCGGAGGGGAGGAUAUCACUCAAGACCUGAACUUAAAGUCAUGCAACGGACUAGAUUCAUUGGGCCGCAUCCAAGAAUCCCAACGUCCGAGUUCGGAAACUCCUUGGCCCCUGGGUCUCAGAUUGGGUGAGGUUUCGGAUUUGCUUCCACCCACCCACCCAUACAUAAGCGAUCUAUCCCAAAUUAGGCAAGAGCAUGAAGGAACAGUACUUCAUUACUGGGCCAGAUUCCUCCUGGUUAUGAACAGGAUAAAGGACUGCCGCGAGGAAGACGCAAUUUCAUUCUUCUGCAAUAAUUGCACGGACAAGGGAAUCCUCAACGCCAUAAGUCGCCGUGAUAUUACACGCUUUGCUGACUUGGCGUCCAUAGUACGAAAGUACUGUGCGAUGGAAAGCGCCUGGAAAACCGAAACAAAAUUUUGGGACAAUCCGGCCUUGAAUACAAACCCGGUCCGAAAUAAAAGGGUCCAUCAUCGUCAGACACCCGGGUUCAAUACCAAAAAGAAAAAGCCCUCUACAGGGCACGGAACCGUACUAGAAGGAUGGCUUGAUGGACCCUGUAAAAUUCACAGCGCAGAAGGUGCCACACCAACUCACAGCCUUAGAGCAUGUUGGAUACUCCGGCAGGUGGCAAAAAUUGGCAACUAUCUUCUAAUUCCAGAAGCCACAGAAAGCCACCCCAAAGAAACCAGUACGGUAUUAACAGUCGUCGAGACUUUCGCAUCAAAUAAUAUGCGAAAAAGAACACUCCGCGGCCUUGCCGAAGUCUACCAAGUAGCAACAAUAAACCCAUGGAGUGACACGGCUAUUACUUUUAAUGCCAGUGAUGAACCUAAAUUCCGAACAGCCCGAGCACCAGCCACAUUGGUCCUCAGUCCAAUAGUGGACGGCUUUCGUCUUACCAAGGUACUCAUGGAUGGCGGCAGCGGAUUGAACCUCAUUUAUGAGGAAACCCUUCAAAAAAUGGAAAUAGACUGGAACCGCAUUGAGCGAAGCAGCACAACCUUUAGAGGAAUAAUCCCCAGUCGGGAAGCGCGCUGUACAGGAAAAAUCACACUAGAUGUGGUGUUCGGCAUGCCGGAUAAUUACAGGUCCGAAGAGGUCACGUUCCAGGUGGCCCCGUUCGGUAGCGGAUAUCACGCUCUGCUAGGGCGGGAAGCGUUUACAGUCUUCCAAGCAAUACCCCAUUACGGGUACAUGAAGCUCAAGAUGCCCGGGCCUAAUGGAAUCAUCACUCUCGUUAGUGAUCCGGACAUAGCACUCCGCGCCGAAAACAAGACAGCCGCACUGGCCCUCGAGGCGCUAUCUGAAGCCCUAGCGACUGAGGAACUGACUGCGCUACGCUCCACGGUGAAUAGGGACGAUGUGAUACUCGAUAAAAUAUCCAAGUCCACCUCCUUUAAACCGGCGGACGAAAUAGUCAAAUUCCAGGUCCAUCCAACGGACCCCAAUAAAACAGCUUCCAUCGGGGCACAGUUAAACCCUGAUGUAGAUGCCGCACUGCGAGAGUUCCUACAAGAGAACUGGGAAAUUUUCGCCUGACACCCUUCAGACAUGCCAGGAAUCCCACGCAGGCUGGCCGAACACAGCUUAAAUAUCCUAAAAGGAUUCAAGCCAGUCAAACAGGCUCUUCGGCGUUUUUCCGAACCUAAGAGACAUGCCAUGGGAGAGGAACUAGCCAAGCUAUUGGAGGCCGGAUUCAUAAAAGAUAUCAAACAUCCGGACUGGCUAGUAAACCUGGUGAUGGUACCAAAGAAGGACAAAUCCUGGCGCCUGUGCGUUGAUUUCAAAGACCUUAACAAGGCCUGCCCAAAGGAUCCCUUCCCUCUCCCCGACAUCGAUCAAAUUACCGACGCUACCGCAGGACACGAUUCGUUGUGUUUCCUCGACGCAUACUCCGGCUACCAUCAAAUAAAGAUGGUAGAGUCAGACCAAGCCGCAACGGCAUUCAUCACACCAUACGGCCCAUUCUGCUUCAACACAAUGCCCUUCGGGCUCAAAAAUGCCAGCGCAACAUAUCAGCGCAUGAUUCAGACAUGUCUAGCAAACCAGAUCAGCAAAACAGUGGAGGCAUACAUAGAUGAUGUGGUCGUUAAAACAAGACAUGUCGAAUCUCUAGUAGACGACUUGAGGCUAACAUUCGAUAACCUCCGAACAUACAACAUCAAGCUCAACCCGGAAAAAUGCGUUUUCGUCGUUCCAGCCGGAAAGCUCUUGGGCUUCAUUGUAUCCGGUAGAGGAAUUGAAGCAAAUCCAGCCAAAAUCCGAGCUCUGUCACAAUUGGAUAUCCCGAAGGACCUCAAACAAAUACAAAAAUUAACCGGAUGCGUGGCGGCUCUAAGCCGCUUUAUCUCCCGCUUAGGAGAAAAGGCCCUACCCCUUUACCGCCUCCUUCGGUGCACCGAACACUUCGAGUGGACGGAUGCAGCCACGGCCGGACUCGAUGAAAUAAAAGUCAUCUUGUCAACAAACCCAGUCCUGGUCGCGCCAAACAUUGGUGAACCAAUGCUAUUAUACAUUGCAGCAACCCAUCAGGUCGUAAGCACAGUGCUCGUCGUCGAACGAGAAACGGACGGACACAAAUUACCCCUUCAAAAGCCGGUCUAUUAUGUGUCCACUGUCCUUACUCCGUGCAAGUCACGGUACCCGCACUAUCAAAAGAUUGCGUACGCGGUAUUUAUGGCAUCCCGGUAGCUGCGACACUACUUUCAAGAGUUUUCAAUAACAGUAGCCUCGGAAGUGCCACUUAACAAUAUUAUAAAUAACCGCGACGCGAUGGGCUGGAUUGCAAAAUGGGCCAUUGAGCUCCUCCCAUUUGACAUAACUUACAAGCCACGGCAAGCUAUCAAGUCGCAAGUUUUGGCCGACUUCAUCGCAGAAUGGACGGAGGCCGAACUCCCUAAAGAGUACGACACAUAUUCAAACUGGGUCAUGCACUUCGACGGCUCCAAAAUGUUGGCCGGUCUAGGGGCUGCGUUGUUUUGACGUCCCCCAUAAGACACACAGUUCAAUAUGUACUCCAGAUAAUGUACACAUACUCCAACAACACAGCCGAAUAUGAGGCCCUUUUACAUGGUCUCCGGAUGCCAGUAUCCAUGGGCAUUCAACGCCUAGAGGUGCGCGGGGACUCCAAUCUCGCAAUAUCCCAAAUAAAUGGAGACUUUGAUGCCAAGGAUCCAAAAAUGGCAGCUUAUCGCAAUGCCGUCCUAAAAAUGUCAGCUCGGUUCGAAGGGCUCGAAUUUCACCAUAUAGCCCGGGAAAAUAAUUAGGCGGCAGAUGUCCUGGCACGCAUCGGCGCAAAACGCGAUGUAGUCCCCCCCAACAUCUUCUUGGAAAGGCUGUUCAAGCUGUCCGUAGUAUGGGAAGGGGAACCUGGCAAUAGCAGCCCGGACCCAACCACACUGCCCGACACCGAACACUCUGACACAAUUGGAGGCUCUGCCAAUGAAAUAACACCUUCAGCCCACGUAAUAGUGGGACAGAACCAUUCCUCGCCAACCUUACCAGGCAGGAACUCCCUGAGGACCAAAAUGAGGCACACUGCAUAGUGUGGCGAUCUAAAGCCUAUAAAGUCCAUGAGGGAGAGCUUUAUAAGAAAAGCACUACCGGAGUCCUUCAAAGGUGCAUCUCCGAAGAGGAAGGGCGGAACCUCCUGGCUGAAAUUCAUGCUGGACUCGGCGGACAUCACGCUGCAGCUCGGUCCCUUGUAAGCAAGGCCUUCCGCACAGGCUUUUAUUGGCCGACGGCCCGGGCAGACGCCCAGGACUUAGUCCAACGAUGCGUCGGUUGCCAGCUUUUUGCAAACCAAAGCCAUAUGCCACCCACCGCCCUCCAAACUAUCCCCAUCACUUGGCCCUUCGCAGUCUGGGGGCUUGACAUGGUUGGACCCCUUAAAGGCGGAACCCACAAGAAAAAAUACUUACUGGUCAUGGUGGAUAAGUUCACCAAAUGGAUAGAAGCCAAGCCUGUUAAGACGGCCGAAUCUGGACUGGUGAUAGACUUUAUAUCCGGGGUUGUACACCGUUACGGCGUCCCCCACAACAUCAUCACUAAUAACGGCACAAACUUUACGGCCGAUGAGGUAAAACUCUGGUGCAAAAACAUGGGCAUCAAGCUCGAUUAUGCUUCCGUCUAUCACCCACAAACCAACGGCCAUGUCAAACGUGCAAAUGGUCUUAUCAUGAGUGGCAUCAAACCCAUAUUAGUGCAGUCCCUUAAGGAAUCUAAUACGCACUGGGUAGAGGAGCUCGACUCUGUACUCUGGGGGCUGCGGACCACGCCGAAUCGCACCACCGGAUACACACCAUUCUUCAUGGUGUACGGUGCAGAGGCAGUUUUGCCCUGCGACAUAAUUCAUGACUCACCUCGAGUGCACAUGUACGAAGAAAGAGAAGCCGAGCUCGAUCGGCAGGACAGUUUGGAAGCCUUGGAGGAAGAGCGUGAUGUGGCAAAAGCCCGUUCCGCAUUCUAUCAACAGCAGGCUCGAAGAUACCAAAGCAGAGAAGUACGGGCCAAAAAUUACAACGUUGGCGAAUUAGUUCUACGCCUGCCGGAGAAGAAAAAGGACAAACUCAAGCCCAAGUGGGAAGGUCCCUUCAUAAUCGACCAGGUCCUAACUGGUGGAGCGUACCGCCUGUGAGAUGCAUCGGAUAACCGACUCGAGCCAAACCCAUGGAACGCAGCCCGUCUACGAAGAUUCUAUGCCUAGCGCCGGACUCUGUGUUUAUAUACUUUCUGUCUUACAUUUCUCUUCUUCUCCCCUCUCUCUCUUAUAGCCUUCAAAGGCUCAUAAAGUGGCGCGCUAUCCGCGCUCAUUAAACCUGGGGGCUUCUUUAAACAGAAGCUUAUUUAUACGGGCUUCAUGCCCAACACAUGUGUCACACUUCCGCAUGUACCUUUUAUUCGCCAUUAUAUGCAUCGAUAUGACUUAAGUUUUGGCCAAGCUGGGUUGCCUGGCUCCUGUGCUUACCCCUACGUUCCCGAUUGUUCGGCUAGGUGGUAAAGGGAGCACCUCUGUGAUUGUUACUGCCGAGUCAGUCGGAUGUGUACCUCAGACUGGGUGAAGCCGAAAGCUAGCGUUCUUAAGGGAAUAUUCGGUCGGUGAACCAAAGAUGAUCUUUUCUUCCACUUAUUUAUCUAUACGCCCCCAGAUGUUUUUCCUGCGUCUCUUUUUGCAGAAUGGACAUGCACUUUAGGGCAUGCCUCCGAGGGAAAGGAACCCCUAACAGAACUAUUCUCCCUGGAAGAUGUUUCUUACUAACCAUGUAAUAUAACAUAACUAGUUGGGCACUUGUCUGUUCAAGCACUAAUGACCCCUACGCCUGGUCUCCAUGCAUACCCCGAUUCUUAUAUAACCGCGAGGGUAUUCGGACACACUCCGGACCAUCAGGUCCCGAGGUUGAAGCGAAAAGGUCGGCCAUGACAAACGAUCUACAAUCCAACUAGAAGGUAUUACACAUGUCAAUUAAAAUUACAUAGUCAAUCUGACUGAUUGUAUUCCUCUUCAAUUCCAUCUAACAGGCUGUCUAGUUUACAGUCCUGUUGGGAAUACUUUGCGGCCAACUCUACUUGGCCGUAUACUAAGCUCACAGGGACAUCCUUCCCAUCGGGCCCUACGGGUCCGACCUCGGCCAUGUGGUUUGGGUCAGCCUUCGUGUACCGCGUCUGCACCAUGGCCCAGGCCUCCCUGGUGCCUUGACGGCAGGCCGACAUCUUCCACAAUCGGAAGUGCCGCCGCGCUCCCUUCAGCUUCUCUGCAAGCUCUCCAAGGCCUUCGGUCAUGGAGACGGAUGGCCACAAGGCCUGGGCGACGCCUCGCAUCACCUGUCGAACUCGCUCGUGCAGUUGUGAGAGCUCGGGAAGAAGGUCACCCGUAGAACCGGGCAUUUCCUCUGCAGGACGACCUAUCAGCAUACCUACAGACAUUACUCUGUUAGUUGACUUCCUCGCCGAACUCUUUUUUUCAAAGUUCGUUUAAGCACUUACUAUAUAUGCCGCGUCGAAGCCGUUGAUUCUCCUUCACGGAGUCCAACAGUUGGGCACGAACGUCCUUCAGUUCCACGCCUAGCUUGGUGUUGGCAUCUUGGAGAUCGUUCUUCUCCCGCCUCACCUUUGUCAGCAUGCUCUCACCAGCCUUUAGCUGGUGUCAGAGUUGUUGCACUUCCGGAUUUAAUCCGGCGCCAUCUGCAGUUUCAUUUGUCAGAUUUGCACCCACGCCGCACUUCGCAAAAUACUUAUCUAUCGAAGCAUAUAUUACCAGAGGGGGUCUCCUUGGGCUCCCAUGCUGCGGCUAGUGCGGCCUCAAGUUGGGCUUUGCACUCUUCCAGCUCCCGGGACAGCAGGGUAUUCUUUUCUGUAAGAACCUGCAUAACAGAUGAUCCUUAAAUCAAUUAUUCUAACUGUUUCAAGUCUCAGGGGCUACUGGUAUACAUAUAUAAUUACCAAAAUUUUCUUACCCGUAUGUCUUUCACAUACUGCUCCGUGGCUCUGGCUAGACCAUUUUGAGCGGCACGGAGGUACGCAUCUCCCGAAUUGAAGGCAUCCAAUGCCUCUUGGGAGAAACAAGCAUCACGAAGAACUGUCUGACGACGCCUGAGGUUCAUGGCACUCUCCACCUCGGAAUUGGUGGCAGGCAGCAUGUCCGCAUCCUUCGUCGGAGGAGCGUCUGGUGCGCGCCUCGUGUUCGCCUCCGCUUCCGGACCAGGCUUUGGAGCCUGGCUGGUGGAGGCGCGAUUGGCAGCCUCUCCGGAUAUAGUCCGGCGAGGUCUCUUCGUCCUGAAGAGAGCACGAGUGUUAAUAUGCCUCGAAGGAGUAACACCUGGGAAUAAGUGUUGGGGAAUGUAGUAAUUUCAAAAUUUUCCUACGCACACGCAAGAUCAUGGUGAUGCAUAGCAACGAGAGGGAAGAGUGUGAUCUACGUACCCUUGUAGAUCAACAACGGAAGCGUUUGGUUGAUGUAGUCGUACGUCUCCACGGCCCGACCGAUCAAGCACCGAAACUACGGCACCUCCGAGUUCUAGCACACGUUCAGCUCGAUGACGAUCCCCAGACUCCGAUCCAGCAAAGUGUCGGGGAAGAGUUCCAUCAGCACGACGGUGUGGUGACGAUCUUGAUGUACUACUGUCGCAGGGCUUCGCCUAAGCACCGCUACAAUAUUAUCGAGGACUAUGGUGGAAGGGGGCACCGCACACGGCUAAGAAUAUGAUCACAUGGAUCAACUUGUGUAUCUAGGGGUGCCCCUUGCCUCCGUAUAUAAAGGAUCCAAGGGGGGGGGGUGCGGCCGGCCCUAGUAGGAGGCGCGCGGGAGGAGUCCUACUCCUACUGGGAGUAGGACUCCCCUCCCUUUCCUUGUCCAAGUAGGAGAGGGGGAAGGAGAGAAGGAAAAGGGGGGCGCCGCCCCUCCCUCCUUGUCCAAUUUGGACUAGGGAAAGGGGGGCGCGCGGCCUGCCCUGGCAGCCCCUCCUCUUCUCCACUUUAGGCCCAUGAGGCCCAUUAACCCCCCGGGGGGUUCCGGUAACCCCCCGGUGCUCCGGUUUUAUCCGAAACUUCCCCGGAACACUUCCGGUGUCCGAAUAUAGCCGUCCAAUAUAUCACUCUUUAUGUCUCGACCAUUUCAAGACUCCUCGUCAUGUCCGUGAUCACAUCUGGGACUCCGAACUAACUUCGUUACAUCAAAACUCAUAAACUCAUAAAAUAGCUGUCAUCGAAACCUUAAGCGUGCGGACCCUACGGGUUCGAGAACAAUGUAGACAUGACCGAGACACGUCUCCGGUCAAUAACCAAUAGCAGAACCUGGAUGCUCAUAUUGGCUCCUACAUAUUCUACGAAGAUCUUUAUCGGUCAGACCGCAUAACAACAUACGUUGUUCCCUUUGUCAUCGGUAUGUUACUUGCCCGAGAUUCGAUCGUCAGUAUACCAUACCUAGUUCAAUCUCGUUACCGGAAAGUCUCUUUACUCAUUCCGUAAUACAUCAUCUCACAACUAACUCAUUAGUUGCAAUCCUUGCAAGGCUUAUGUGAUGUGCAUUACCGAGAGGGCCCAGAGAUACCUCUCCGACAAUCGGAGUGACAAAUCCUAAUCUCGAAAUACGCCAACCCAACAUGUACCUUUGGGGACACCUGUAGAGCUCCUUUAUAAUCACCCAGUUACAUUGUGACGUUUGGUAGCACACAAAGUGUUCCUCCGACAAACGGGAGUUGCAUAAUCUCAUAGUCAUAGGAACAUGUAUAAGUCAUGAAGAAAGCAAUAGCAACAUACUAAACGAUCGGGUGCUAAGCUAAUGGGAUGGGUCAUGUCAAUCAGAUCAUUCAACUAACGAUGUGAUCCCGUUAAUAAAAUGACAACUCUUUGUCCAUGGUUAGGAAACAUAACCAUCUUUGAUUAACGAGCUAGUCAAGUAGAGGCAUACUAGUGACACUCUGUUUGUCUAUGUAUUCACACAUGUAUUAUGUUUCCGGUUAAUACAAUUCUAGCAUGAAUAAUAAACUUUUAUCAUGAUAUAAGGAAAUAAAUAAUAACUUUAUUAUUGCCUCUAGGGCAUAUUUCCUUCAGUCUCCCACUUGCACUAGAGUCAAUAAUCUAGUUCACAUCGCCAUGUGAUUUAAUAGCAAUAGUUCACAUCACCAUGUGAUUAACACCCAUAGUCCACAUCGAUAUGUGACCAACACCCAAAGGGUUUACUAGAGUCAGUAAUCUAGUUCACAUCGCUAUGUGAUUAACACCCAAAGAGUACUAAGGUGUGAUCAUGUUUUGCUUGUGAGAUAAUUUUAGUCACCGGGUCUGUUAUAUUCAGAUCCGUAAGUAUUUUGCAAAUAUUUAUGUCAACAAUGCUCUGCACGGAGCUACUCUAGCUAAUUGCUCCCACUUUCAAUAUGUAUCUAGAUUGAGACUUAGAUUCAUCUAGAUUAGUGUCAAAACUUGCAUCGGCGUAACCCUUUACGACGAACCUUUUUUCACUUCCAUAAUCGAGAAACAUAUCCUUAUUCCACUAAGGAUAAUUUUGACCGCUAUCCAGUGAUCUACUCCUAGAUCACUAUUGUACUCCCUUGCCAAACUCAGUGGUAGGGUAUACAAUAGAUCUGGUACACAGCAUGGCAUACUUUAUAGAACCUAUGACCAAGGCAUAGGGAAUGACAUUCAUUCUCUUUCUAUCUUCUGCCGUGGUCGGGCUUUGAGUCUUACUCAAUUUCACACCUUGUAACAUAGGCAAGAAACUCUUUCUUUGACUGUUCCAUUUUGAACUACUUCAAAAUCUUGUCAAGGUAUGUAUUUAUUGAAAAACCUUAUCAAGCGUCUUGAUCUAUCUCUAUAGAUCUUGAUGCUCAAUAUGUAAGCAACUUCACCGAGGUCUUUCUUUGAAAAACUCCUUUCAAACACUCCUUUAUGCUUUGCAGAAUAAUUCUACAUUAUUUCCGAUCAACAAUAUGUCAUUCACAUAUACUUAUCAGAAAUGUUGUAGUGCUACCACUCACUUUCUUGUAAAUACAGGCUUCACCGCAAGUCUGUAUAAAACUAUAUGCUUUGAUCAACUUAUCAAAGCGUAUAUUCCAACUCCGAGAUGCUUACACCAGUCCAUAGAUGGAUCGCUGGAGUUUGCAUAUUUUGUUAACACCUUUAGGAUUGACAAAAACUUCUGGUUGCAUCAUAUACAACUCUUCUUUAAGAAAUCCAUUAAGGAUUGCAGUUUUGUUAUCCAUUUGCCAGAUUUCAUAAAAUGCAGCAAUUGCUAACAUGAUUCGGACAGAUUUAAGCAUAGAUACGAGUGAGAAACUCUCAUCGUAGUCAACAUCUUGAACUUGUAGAAAACCUUUUUGCGACAAUUCUAGCUUUAUAGAUAGUAAUACUACUAUCAGCGUCCGUCUUCCUCUUGAAGAUCCAUUUAUUUUCUAUGGCUUGCCGAUCAUCGGGCAAGUCAACCAAAGUCCAUACUUUGUGCUCAUACAUGGAUCCCGUCUCAGAUUUCAUGGCCUCAAGCCAUUUUGCGGAAUCUGGGCUCACCAUCGCUUCUUCAUAGUUCGCAAGUUCGUCAUGGUCUAGUAACAUGACUUCCAGAACAGGAUUACCAUACCACUCUGGUGUGGAUCUCACUCUGGUUUACCUACGAGAUUCGGUAGUAACUUGAUCUGAAGUUACAUGAUCAUCAUCAUUAGCUUCCUCACUAAUUGGUGUAGUAGUCAUAAGAACAGAUUUCUGUGAUGAACUACUUUCCAAUAAGGGAGAUGGUACAAUUACCUUAUCAAGUUUUCUACUUUCCUCCCACUCACUUCUUUCGAGAGAAACUCCUUCUCUGGAAAGGAUCCAUUCUUAGCAACGAAUGUUUUGCCUUCGGAUCUGUGAUAGAAGGUGUACCCAAUAGUCUCCUUUGGGUAUCCUAUGAAGACAUUUUUCUCCGAUUUGGGUUUGAGCUAAUCAGGAUGAAACUUUUUCAUAUAAGCAUCACAAUCCCAAACUUUAAGAAAUGACAACUUUGGUUUCUUGCCAAACCACAAUUUAGAUUGUGUCGUCUCAACGGACUUAGAUGGUGCCCUUUUAAACGUGAAUGCAGCUGUCUUUAAUGCAUAACCCCAAAUCGAUAGUGGUAGAUCGGUAAGAGACAUCAUAGGUCGCACCAUAUCUAAUAAAGUAUGGUUAUGACGUUCGGACACACCAUUAUGCUGUGGUGUUCCAGGUGGCGUGAGUAGUGAAACUAUUUCACAUUGUUUUAACUGAAGACCAAACUCAUAACUCAAAUACUCUUCUCCACGAUCAGAUCGUAGAAACUUUAUUUUUUUGUUACGAUGAUUUUCCACUUCACUCUGAAAUUCUUUGAACUUUUCAAAUGUUUCUGACUUAUGUUUCAUCAAGUAGAUAUACCCAUAUCUGCUCAAAUCAUCUGUGAAGGUCAGAAAAUAAUGAUACCUGUCGCGAGCCUCAAUAUUCAUCGGACCACAUACAUCAGUAUGUAUGAUUUCCAACAAAUCUGUUGCUCGCUCCAUUGUUCCAAAGAACAGAGUCUUAGUCAUCUUGCCCAUGAGGCAUGGUUCGUAAGCGUCAAGUGAUUCAUAAUCAAGUGAUUCCAAAAACCCAUCAGCAUGGAGUUUCUUCAUGCGCUUUACACCAAUAUGACCUAAACGGCAGUGCCACAAACAAGUUGCACUAUCAUUAUUAACUUUGCAUCUUUUGGUUUCAAUAUUAUGAUUAUGUGUAUCACUACGAUCGAGAUCCAACGAACUAUUUUCAUUGGGUGUGUAACCAUAUAAGGUUUUAUUCAUGUAAACAGAACAACAAUUUAUUCUCUUGCUUAAAUGAAUAACCGUAUUACAAUAAACAUGAUCAAAUCAUAUUCAUGCUCAACGCAAACACCAAAUAACACUUAUUCAGGUUCAACACUAAUCCCGAAAGUAUAGGGAGUGUGCGAUGAUGAUCAUAUCAAUCUUGGAACCACUUCCAACACACAUCGUCACUUCACCCUUAACUAGUCUCUGUUUAUUCUGCAACUCCCGUUUCGAGUUACUAAUCUUAGCAACUGAACUAGUAUCAAAUACUGAGGGGUUGCUAUAAACACUAGUAAAGUACACAUCAAUAACAUGUAUAUCAAAUAUACUUAUGUUCACUUUGCCAUCCUUCUUAUCUGCCAAUCACUUGGGGUAGUUCUGCUUCGAGUGACCAAUCCCUUUGCAGUAGAAACACUUAGUAUCAGGCUUAGGACCAGACUUGGGCUUCUUCACUUGAGCAGCAACUUGCUUGCUGUUCUUCUUGAAGUUCCCCUUCUUCCCUUUGCCCUUUUUCUUGAAACUUAGUGGUCUUGUCAACCAUCAACACUUGAUGCUCUUUCUUGAUUUCUACCUUCAUUGAUUUCAUCAUCAUGAAAAGCUUGGGAGUCGUUUUCGUCAUCCCUUGCAUAAUAUAGUUCAUCAUGAAGUUCUACUAACUUGGUGAUGGUGACUAGAGAAUUCUGUCAAUCACUAUUUUAUCUCGAAGAUUAACUCCCACUUGAUUCAAGCGAUUGUAGUACCCAGACAAUCUGAGCACAUGCUCACUAGUUGAGCGAUUCUCCUCCAUCUUUUAGCUAUAGAACUUGUUGGAGACUUCAUAUCUCUCAACUCGGGUAUUUGCUUGAAAUAUUAACUUCAACUCCUGGAACAUCUCAUAUGCUCCAUGACGUUCAAAACGUCUUUGAAGUCCCGAUUCUAAGCCAUUAAGCAUGGUGCACUAAACUAUCAAGUAGUCAUCAUAUUGAGCUAGCCAAACAUUCAUAACGUCUGCAUCUGCUCCUAAAAUAGGUCCGUCACCUAGCGGUGCAUCAAGGACAUAAUUCUUCUGUGCAGCAAUGAGGAUAAACCUCAGAUCACGGAUCCAAUCCGCAUAAUUGCUACUAACAUCUUUCAACACAAUUUUCUCUAGGAACAUAUCAAAAUAAACACAGGGAAGCAACAACGCGAGCUAUUGAUCUACAACAUAAUUUGCAAAAUACUACCAGGACUAAGUUCAUGAUAAAUUUAAGUUCAAUUAAUCAUAUUACUUAAGAACUCCCACUUAGAUAGACAUCCCUCUAAUCCUCUAAGUGAUUACAUGAUCCAAAUCAACUAAACCAUGUCCGAUCAUCACGUGAGAUGGAGUAGCUUCAUUGGUGAACAUCACUAUGUUGAUCAUAUCUACUAUAUGAUUCACGCUCGACCUUUCGGUCUCCGUGUUCCGAGGCCAUAUCUGUAUAUGCUUGGCUCAUCAAGUAUAACCUGAGUAUUCCGCGUGUGCAACUGUUUUGCACCCGUUGUAUUUGAACGUAGAGCCUAUCACACCCGAUCAUCACGUGGUGUCUCAGCACGAAGAACUUUCGCAACAGUGCAUACUCAGGGAGAACACUUGUUGAUAAUUUAGUGAGAGAUCAUCUUAUAAUGCUACCGUCAAACAAAUCAAGAUAAGAUGCAUAAAAGAUAAACAUCACAUGCAAUCAAUAUAAGUGAUAUGACAUGGCCAUCAUCAUCUUGUGCUUGUGAUCUCCAUCUCCGAAGCACCGUCGUGAUCACCAUCGUCACUGGCGCGACACCUUGAUCUCCAUCGUAGCAUUGUUGUCGUCUCGCCAAUCUUAUGCUUCCACGACUAUCGCUACCGCUUAGUGAUAAAGUAAAGCAUUACAGCGCGAUUGCAUUGCAUACAAUAAAGCGACAACCAUAUGGCUCCUGCCAGUUGCCGAUAACUCGGUUACAAAACAUGAUCAUCUCAUACAAUAAAAUUUAGCAUCAUGUCUUGACCAUAUCACAUGACAACAUGCCCUACAAAAACAAGUUAGACGUCCUCUACUUUGUUGUUGCAAGUUUUACGUGGCUGCUACGGGCUUAAGCAAGAACCAAUCUUACCUAUGAAUCAAAACCACAACGAUAGUUUGUCAAGUUGGUGCUGUUUUAACCAUCGCAAGGACCGGGCGUAGGCACACUCGGUUCAUCUAAAGUUGGAGAAACUGUCACCCGCAAGCCACCUAUGUGCAAAGCACGUCGGGAGAACCGGUCUCGCGUAAGCGUACGCGUAAUGUCGGUCCGGGCCGCUUCAUCCAACAAUACCGCCGAACCAAAGUAUGACAUGCUGGUAAGCAGUAUGACUUAUAUCGCCCACAACUCACUUGUGUUCUACUCGUGCAUAUAACAUCAACAUAUAAAACCUAGGCUCGGAUGCCACUGUUCGGGAACGUAGUAAUUUCAAAAUUUUCCUACGCACAGGCAAGAUCAUGGUGAUGCAUAGCAACGAGAGGGGAGAGUGUGAUCUACGUACCCUUGUAGAUCAACAACGGAAGUGUUUGGUUGAUGUAGUCGUACGUCUCCACGGCCCGACCGAUCAAGCACCGAAACUACGGCAUCUCCGAGUUCUAGCAUACGUUCAGCUCGAUGACGAUCCCCGGACUCCGAUCCAGCAAAGUGUCGGGGAAGAGUUUUGUCAGCACGACGGUGUGGUGACGAUCUUGAUGUACUACUGUCGCAGGGCUUCGCCUAAGCACCGCUACAAUAUUAUCGAGGACUAUGGUGGAAGGGGGCACCGCACACGGCUAAGAAUAUGAUCACGUGGAUCAACUUGUGUAUCUAGGGGUGCCCCUUGGCUCCGUAUAUAAAGGAUCCAAGGGGGGGGUGCGGCCGGCCCUAGUAGGAGGCGCGUAGGAGGAGUCCUACUCCUACCGGGAGUAGGACUCCCCUCCCUUUCCUUGUCCAAGUAGGAGAGGGGGAAGGAGAGAAGGAAAGGGGGGGGGGCGCCGCCCCUCCCUCCUUGUCCAAUUCGGACUAGGGGGAGAGGGGGCGCGCGUCCUGCCGUGGCAGCCCCUCCUCUUCUCCACUUUAGGCCCAUGAGGCCCAUUAACCCCCCGGGGGGUUCCGGUAACCCCCCGGUGCUCCGGUUUUAUCCGAAACUUCCCCGGAACACUUCUGGUGUCUGAAUAUAGCCGUCCAAUAUAUCAAUCUUUAUGUCUCGACCAUUUCGAGACUCCUCGUCAUGUCCGUGAUCACAUCCGAGACUCCGAACUAACUUCGGUACAUCAAACUCAUAAACUCAUAAUAUAGCUGUCAUCGAAACCUUAAGCAUGUGGACCCUACGGGUUCGAGAACAAUGUAGACAUGACCGAGACACGUCUCCGGUCAAUAAGCAAUAGCGGAACCUAGAUUCUCAUAUUGGCUCCUACAUAUUCUACGAAGAUCUUUAUCGGUCAGACCGCAUAACAACAUACGUUGUUCCCUUUGUCAUCGGUAUGUUACUUGCCCGAGAUUCGAUCGUCGGUAUCCCAUACCUAGUUCAAUCUCGUUACCGGCAAGUCUCUUUACUCGUUCCGUAAUACAUCAUCUCACAACUAACUCAUUAGUUGCAAUGCUUGCAAGGCUUAUGUGAUUUGCAUUACCGAGAGGGCCCAGAGAUACCUCUCCGACAAUCAGAGUGACAAAUCCUAAUGUCGAAAUACGCCAACCCAACAUGUACCUUUGGAGACACCUGUAGAGCUCCUUUAUAACCACCCAGUUACGUUGUGACAUUUGGUAGCACACAAAGUGUUCCUCCGGCAAACGGGAGUUGCAUAAUCUCAUAGUCAUAGGAACAUGUAUAAGUCAUGAAGAAAGCAAUAGCAACAUACUAAACGAUCGGGUGCUAAGCUAAUGGAAUGGGUCAUGUCAAUCAGAUCAUUCAACUAAUGAUGUGAUCCCGUUAAUCAAAUGACAACUCUUUGUCCAUGGUUAGGAAACAUAACCAUCUUUGAUUAACGAGCUAGUCAAGUAGAGGCAUACUAGUGACACUUUGUUUGUCUAUGUAUUCACACAUGUAUUAUGUUUCCGGUUAAUACAAUUCUAGCAUGAAUAAUAAACUUUUAUCAUGAUAUAAGGAAAUAAAUAAUAACUUUAUUAUUGCCUCUAGGGCAUAUUUCCUUCAAUAAGGUGGCGCGCUAUACCUUUGCGCCGGUGCCUCAGUCCGGACCACACUUCUUUUCAGCUCGCGGGGCCUUGUCGCCCCUCGUUGGCUAGUCGCCGCAGGCUCGGCCUCCUGUCUCAAGGACCUCCCCUGCAAAACACGGUUGUGAUACGGUAAUCAAAAACACGCAAGGAUAGAUCCCUUUUCAAAGUGCUGAGACUCCGGUCCCAGUUACCUGUGAGGCUGGGAGUAGCCCUGGAUAAUCGGCCGUAAUGGCCACCAAGGCGUUGUCCUUGCUCAAUUGAUGAAACACUCCAUUAAUCAGCUCCACAGAUAAGUCCGGAUCCUCUUGAGAGGCCGGGUCGAGGGACCGUCCCGGAUCCUCGGGUUGUGGAGGAGGGCUGUUUAUUUCUUUAACAACCUGACGCAGUUCCUGCGUUGUAGUCGUUAGACUGAAAAUUUAACAAUGGGAAUAUAAAACGAAUGGGGAAGUAUAAGUGUCCACUUACCCAACUCGGGGGAUUGUACAUAGAAAAUCCACCCCGUGAGUUGACGCGGAGAAAUUCCUCCUCUUCUCCCUUGUUCAAAGCGGACGAGGUCUUUAUUAGAGCAGCAGCCGAAUCCGGCCCCUUACGGCCAUAGCGGGUGGCGUCGUCCUCCCCGUUGAAGUCCCACAUGGGGAGGCCUCUAUACUAAAGCGGCUGCACCCCUCGCAUGAUGCAUGCGGCCAUGACCCCGAUCAUGGUCAGUCCGGAAUGAGCUAACAAUCUUAUCCGGCCCAUCAGGUAAAUAACAUCCCUGUCACUUUCCCUCUGAGGGCUCCGUGGACGCCAGCUUAGGCGCUUCUUUAGGGGAGCACUGUCGAACUCAAGGAGGCCGAUCCGGACAGGAUCCGGCAGCGGAACGUCCUCUAUAUAAAACCAUUCCGAAGGCCAGUCCUCGGAUGCCUUCUUUGGGGUUCCAGAUAGAUAUCCGGUCCCGGCAAUGCGCCACACUUAGGCUCCGCCCACUUGAUAUAUCGACCCCUCCUUAAAGCAGGGCACAAGGUAGAAUAGCCUUUUCCACAGCACGAAAUGAGCCUCACAGCCCAAAAACAGCUCGCAAAGGGCUACGAAGCCCGCGAUAUGCAAUAUGGAGGCAGGCGUGAGGUUGUGCAGCUGGAGGCCAUAGAACUCCAGAAGCCCCCGGAGAAACGGAUGAAUUGGAAAGCUGAGCCCUCUUAUUAAGUAAGGGGCAAGGCAUACCCGCUCUCCUUUGGAGGGAUUGGGGGCGCUCUCCGCUUGCUCUCCGCCAUUAUAGGUGGCAAGUCCGGCUCGAACCGGGACCAUAUAGGACGGGGGGAGAAAUCCCUUGGUCUGGAGCUUCACUAGCUCGCUGUGCAGGAUGGAGCACUUCUUCUAAUCUCCAGGCUGAGGGAUGGAAGGGCGAGAGGAGGAGCUGCGGCGGCUGGCCAUGAUAGAAUGGACCUCUGUCGGAUACGCUCUAAUGAAUACUCGUGGAAGGGAGAAGGUGUGGUUUGGAUCUAAAUCCUCGUCCCCUUAAAUAGGCGGCUCAUUCACGCAGCUAGGGGUGUAAAUAUAAAAAACACCCUGACUUUUCGUAUUCGUUUGACAUGUGGAAAACGGCCAUUAUUGGGCGUAGAAGCCAAGGAGCACUACAUUUACAAGAAAUCGGACACUAUUCAACAGGUACAUGGAAUUUGGAGGAGAACCCACCUUGGAAUGCCGAAGACAAUUUGCGCGCCGGACUCGUCGUCAUUGAAGCCUGGUUCAGGGGCAACUGAGGGAGUCCUGGAUUAGGGGGUGUCCGGAUGGCCGGACUACUUUCGGCCGGACUCCUGGACUAUGAAGAUACAAGAUUGAAGACUUCGUCCCGUGUCCGGAAGGGACUUUCCUUGGCAUGGAAGGCAAGCUUGGCGAUACGGAUAUGUAGAUCUCCUACCAUUGUAACCGACUCUGUGUAACCCUAGCCCUCUUCGUUGUCUAUAUAAAUCGGAGAGGUUUAGUCCGUAGAGACAACAACAAUCAUACCAUAGGCUAGCUUUUAGGGUUUAGCCUCUCUGAUCUCGUGGUAGAUCUACUCUUGUACUACCCAUAUCAUCAAUAUUAAUCAAGCAGGACGUAGGGUUUUACCUCCAUCAAGAGGGCCUGAACCUGGGUAAAACAUCGUGUCCCCUGCCUCCUGUUACCAUCCGACCUAGACGCACAGUUCGGGACCCCCUACCCGAGAUCCGCCGGUUUUUACACCGACACAUGGGGAGAUACGCCAGACCUGCAAGACAUAUUGGAGGACAAAUCAAAGAAUGUAAGACCGAUCUACGGAUCACGAGGGUGCACCACUCUGCGAGACGAUAAACAUCACGCCAGAUACAGUAAAAGCAAAUCCGGCCGGGCCGAACACAGCGGGCAAGACCCAUUCGAGCUGCGUCGUGAUAUAGCCCAAUACAGAGGCGCCGCACACCCCUUAUGCUUCACAGACAAAGUAAUGGAAUAUCAAUUCCCAGAAGGUUUCAAACCUGUAAAUAUUGAAUCAUACGACAGCACAACAGAUCCCGCAGUAUGGAUUGAGGAUUUCCUCCUCCACAUCCACAUGGCCCGCGGUGAUGACUUACACGCCAUCAAAUACCUCCCACUAAAGCUCAAAGGACCAGCGCGGCAUUGGCUUAACAACUUGCCAGCGGACUCCAUUAGCUUUUGGGAAGAUCUGGAAGCCGCAUUCCUCGACAACUUUCAAGGCACUUAUGUGCGACCACCAGACGCCGAUGACUUGAGCCACAUAAUUCAGCAGCCAGAAGAGUUGGCCAGGCAAUUCUGGACUCGGUUCCUUACAAAGAAAAAUCAAAUCGUCGACUGUCCGGAUGCGGAGGCCUUAGCGGCUUUCAAACACAACAUCCGAGACGAGUGGCUAGCCCGGCACCUUGGUCAGGAAAAGCCGAAAUCUAUGGAAGCUCUCACGACGCUCAUGACCCGCUUUUGUGCGGGAGAAGACAGCUGGCUGGCUCGCAGUAAUAACAUAUUAAAGAACCAUGGUACCUCAGAUACCAAGGACGGCAAUAGCAGGUCACGUCGCAACAAACAUAAGCGCCACAUUAACAGCGAAAAUACUGAGGAUACGGCAGUCAAUGCCGGAUUCAAAUGGUCUAAACCCGGUCAGCGGAAAAAGCCAUUCAAAUAAAGUACGCCGGGUCCAUCCAGCUUGGACCGUAUACUCGAUCGCUCGUGUCAAAUACACGGCACCCCAGACAAGCCAGCCAAUCACACCAACAGGGAUUAUUGGGUGUUGAAGCAGGCCGGCAAGUUAAUUGCCAAAAACAAGGACAAGGGGCCGCAUAGCGAUGACGAUGAGGAGCCCCGGCAGCCGCACACCGAAGGGCAGAAGAGGUUCCCCCGCAAGUGCGGACGGUAAACAUGAUAUACGCGACCCACAUCCCCAAGAGGGAGCGAAAGCGUGCGCUCAGGGACGUAUAUGCGUUGGAGCCAGUCGCCCCAAAGUUCAACCCUUGGUCCUCCUGUCCGAUCACCUUCGAUUGCAGGGACCACCCCACUAGUACCCGUCAUGGCGGAUUUGCCGCACUGGUCCUAGACCCAAUCAUUAACGGAUUCCACCUCACUCGAGUCCUUAUGGAUGGCGGCAGCAGCUUGAACCUGCUUUAUCAGGACACAGUGUGCAAAAUGGGUAUAGACCCCUCAAGGAUCAAACCCACAAAAACGACAUUUAAAGGCGUCAUUCCAGGUGUGGAAGCCCAUUGCACAGGCUCAGUUACACUAGAAGUGGUCUUCGGAUCCCCGGAUAAUUUCUGAAGCGAAGAGUUAAUCUUUGAUAUAGUCCCAUUCCGCAGUGGUUAUCACGCGCUACUCGGGCAAACCGCAUUCGCUAGAUUCAAUGUGGUACUGCAUUAUGCAUACCUCAAGCUCAAGAUGCCUGGACCUCGCGGAGUUAUUAUAGUCAAUGGAAACACAGAGCGCUCUCUCCGAACAGAGGAGCACACCGCGGCCCUCGCAGCAGAAGCGCAAAGCCGCCUCUCAAGGCAAUCAACCAGUUCGGCGCUUCAAAGCCCGGACACCUUCAAGCGCGCUCGGGGCAAUCGGCAAAUAGACCUCCUGGCGCGAUCUGAGCUCGCGUAGCAAUACGGCGCCCCCCCCCCCAAAUCCCAGCCCAACGGCGAAACUCGUGCCACGCGUACAUAAUUACACAUUAAAAAUACCAUGGGCAUAGGUGGGGAGGGGGGCACAAUUGCGGCACGCCCCAAGACGCGGCUUAAACCGCACUAGGGGCUUCCCGUUUGGUUUUUUUUUUCUUUUUUUCCAGGACCUUAAUAUCUGGAAACACUGUCCGGCAGCACUAUUGCCGAACACAUGAUGCAGCAACCAAGGAGGCAGACAGCUACGUCAUACCACGGAAUUCCCAGGUUGAUUAUAGUAACAAGCGAAAUAUUCGAUUUCAUAUCAUUCCUCAGCUUGCCCUUGGAAGGGACAUAGUCCUACUCUUUCCUUAUCGCACUAUCUGUAUCAUUCUGCUUUAACGCACCUUUUUGAAUAAACAAUGCAUCACAUCACGACUAUUAUUGCAUUCCUGUUAUAUAUAUAUAUGUGUGUGUGUGUGUUCAUUAACGAUGCCUUGCAACCGUACACUUUGGUACGGCCAAUACACCAGGGGCUUGCGUACCCCACAAUAUGGUGUGAAAAGUCCGAACACUUCCACAAGUGUGGCACCCCGAACUUAUAGCAUUAUAUGCAUCAGCUCCAAAUCAUGUCUUUGGUCAAAUGUUGGGUUUGCCCGGCUCCUAUGUUUUGGUACCUUAUGUUCCGCUCUAUCGGCUAAGGUAGCGAUAGGAGAACUACUGCGAUUGUUCCCCGGUUCUCCCGGGCUGAGCACCUCAGUAGAGAAAGCUAAAACUGACUGUCAUGAUAAGGCGAGAGACUGGUCGCUGUUCGGUGAGGUUUUCGAGUCCCUAAAGACUUAUGCCGCUUAGGGCGAGGGGCCGGCCCUGUCCGGCUUAAAGGCGUGUAUCGCGCCCCGAAUUCGGCCUUCCAAAUACCAGGGGCUUCGCCAAAAUUUAAAAUUAUAGAAUUCUAUGGCUAAGUGAGAGUGAUAAAGCAUUAUUAGUCCGGUUGCCUUGUUCGUUGUGCUGAGCACCUCCCUCGAAGGACCCAAACAUGGGAACAAGAGUGCUCAGGUUUAUCCCGAACACCCCAGCACUCGUGGCAUGGGGGCAGAAGCCGAGGACUAGCCAUCUCUCAGAUUGGUUAAACAGCCAAACAGAAGGUAAUAUUUUAAAUUCACACAAGCGUUGCAUAGCGCAUAUGAAACAAGUUUUCAUCAUACAGGAUCACACGAGCAAGUUUACUCAAAUAUUACAUCCUUGGAACAUUCGUCCGCUACAAGAUGGACACCCUUCAGGACACCCUCAUAAUAAAUUUCAGGGGUGCGAUGCUCCUUGCCCUGCGGCGGCCCUUCCUUGAUCAGCUUCACAGCGUCUAGCUUGGCCCACUGCACCUUCACACGGGCGAAAGCCCGGCGUGCACCUUCGAUGUAGACGGACCGCUUGAUGACCUCCAGCCAUGGGCAUGCAUCCACAAGCCACCUCACCAGGCCGAAGUAGCUGUUCGGAAGGACGUCGCCAGGCCACAGCCGGACUAUAAGGCCCUUCAUGGCCUAUUCGGCUGCCUUGUGCAGCUCGACCAGCUGCUUUAGCUGGUCGCUCAGAGGCAUUGGGUGUUCGGUCCCAGUAUACUGAGACCAGAACAGCUUCUCCAUUGAGCUUCCCUUCUUGGCCUGGUAAAACUGCGCGGCAUCCGACAAGCUGCGGGGCAAAUCUGUGAAUGCUCCUGGAGAGCUCCGGAUUCGGGUAAGUAAUCAGUAAUUUACUUUUACAUGCUUGCUUUGCAUAUAGAAAGCCUUACCCGUCGCAAUCUUCUUCAUCGCUUCGAUCUCUUGGAGGGCCUUUUGGGCUUCGGCCUUGGCACUUUUUGUGCUCUCGAGGGCCGCGGCAAGCUCAGACUCCCGCAUCUUUGAGUCAAGCUCCAACGGCUCGUACUUCGCCACGAGAGCCUGGAGCUCUUGCUGCACCUCGCCCACAGGAGCCUCGUGCUUCUCUUGCUCGGUGCGCUCCUUGGCCGCUUUAUCUUCGGCCUUGGUUAGCGCUUGCUUCAGAUUCGCCACCUCGGUCGUGGCCCCUGGCAAACAUACAAUGAUCCUGUCAUUUUGCAAUUGCGUCGUCUUUUAUAUAUACAUAUCUAUAGACAGGGUAUUACUUACCCUUGUUCUCCUCGAGCUGCCUCUUGGCAAGGCCGAGCUCUUUCCUGGACCCCUCGAGGUCCUGCUUUAGUACGGCGACCUCCGCAGUCAGUGCGGCGGACGCCAGCAGCGAAGCCUCCAUAUGCAUAUUGACACACUUAUAUUAGACUCCUGCAAUAUUAUUUGAUCCUCUGUUUGGCUUUUCUUUGUGAACACCGAACAAAGCAUCAGGGGCUACUGUCUAUGCGGUAAUACUUCUACUACAUUUUAAAACACUUACCUCGAAGCCUGUUAGAAGUCUGGCACAGGCUUCAGUCAAUCCGCUCUUGGCGGACUGAACCUUCUGGAUCACCGCACUCAUGAUAGUGCGGUGCUCCUCAUCGAUGGAAGCGCUGCGAAGCGCUUCCAGUAGACUGUCCGGUGCCUCCGGAUGGACAGAGGUCACCGACACAGGCGUCUUGCCCCUCUUAGAAGGAGGCCGCCUGCCCGAGCCCGGAACCGCUGGAGGGUCCGGCACGGUGUUCGGCUGAGGGCCGAACUCGGAGCUCUCAGGGGCCCCAUCCCCUCGGCUCUCGGAGUCCGGAAGGUCGCCUUGAGGCGCCUCCAGGACUAUCUCCCCUCGAUCUGGUGCCUCUUGAGACAACACCUCGGCGUCGUCGGCAGGAUGAGGGGAGGUGGCAGUCGGGACUGGAUCGCUAUCCAUGUCCGACAAGCCCAAGGAGCCGUCCGAUGAUACCUCAAUAUUGGCUCAUGGCGGCUUGCAUAAUUAUGUUCGGCGAUUAGGGAAAACAGUGCGACAAAGGAAUUCCAUGAGUUACUCUGGUAUCCGAAUACUUACGAUCUCCCCAGGGGCUUGGCCCUGGGCAACCACUCGUCUUCGCCUUCAUCGGCGGUGGUGGAACUGUCCGGAAGGAGAGUCCUUCCAUUCUUGGACCCUCCGGCCUCCCCAGUUGGGGCGGCCUUCCUUUUCCUGUCUCCCCCAGUCGGUGGGGGAGCAUCUUCUUCUUCUUCUUCUUCCUCGUCUUUGGGGGAAGAGUGCGCCGUGGAGUCAUCGGACGGUGAGCUCGACGACGCCUGGCGUUGGGAACUCUUUCGGGUUCCCUUGGCCUUCUUGGUCUUCUCCGGCACCGUAUAAGGGGCCGGAGUCAGCAUCUUCGCCAGAAGAGCAUCUGCGGGGCCUUCGGGCAAAGGAGCCGGGCAAUCGAUCUGUCCGUCCAUCUUCCGCCAGUCCUGUCAAAGGUACGGGAGUUUAGAUCCCGCAUAGAGUCAAUCUAUAAAAAAAUAAGUAUCCUGUGAAAGGUAAAGCAGCUUACCGCACUGGCUUGGCGCUUCGCGCUGAAUCCGCGAUCCUCAGUAAUAGGAGGGGGGACCUCGGCACUUUUGAACAGCACCCUCCAGGCAUCUUCAUGAGUCAUGUCGAAGAGCCUGUUCAGAGUUCGAUGCUGCGUCGGGUCGAACUCCCACAAGUUGAACUCCCGUUGUUGGCACGGGAGGAUUCGGCAGAUGAGCAUAACUUGGACUAUGUUGACAAGCUUGAGCUUCUUGUUCACCAUGUUUUGAAUACAUGUUUGGAGUCCGGUCAGCUCUUCCGAACUACCCCAGGAUAGGCCCUUCUCUUUCCAGGAGGUGAGCUGCGUGGGGAUGCCAGAUCGGAACUUGGGGGCCGCUGCCCAUACAGGGUCGCGCGGCUCAGUGAUGUAGAACCACCCCGAUUGCCACCCCUUUAUGGUUUCCACAAAGGAGCCCUCGAGCCAUGUUACGUUGGGCAUCUUGCCCACCAUGGCGCCUCCGCACUCUGCCUGGCAGCCGCCCACCACCUUCGGCUUGACAUUGAAGGUCUUCAGCCAUAAGCUGAAGUGGGGCUUGAUGCGGAGGAAGGCCUCGCACACGACGAUAAAUGCCGAGAUGCUGAGGACGAAGUUUGGGGCCAGAUCGUGGAAAUCCAGGCCGUAAUAGAACAUGAGCCCCAGGACGAAUGGAUGGAGAGGGAAUCCCAGUCCGCGAAGGAAAUGGGUGAGGAAUACUACCCUCUCAUGGGGCCUGGGGGUGGGGAUGAGCUGCCCCUCAUCUGGGAGCCGGUGCGCGAUGUCGUCGGGCAGGUAUCCGGCUCUCCUCAGUUUCUUGAUGUCUCCCUCCGUGACGGAGGAGACCAUCCACCUGCCUCCCGCUCCGGACAUGGUUGGAGAAGGUUGAGGUGGGAAGUGUGUACUUGGGCGCUAGAGCUCGAGUGCGCGAAAACGGAUGAGCAAAGUUGGAAGAGGCGUGGAUAGAAAGGUGAAUCCUUAUCCCUUUAUAUGGGCGGACGAAGCUAAGCGUCCCCACUUGCCUGGUAAAACUCGCUUAUCCCCCAAGCGCCGUAAUUGGUGGCGCGGUUGGGUUACCCACGCCCGUAUUGAUGAGAAUCCCGUAAUAAGGGGACACGAUCUCUGCAUUAACAAGACAUGUCGAAAAACUGCCUCGCGUUAUGUGCGGGGCUGGUUAAAGGAAACGGUUCGAAUAAUCACCGGGCCAUGACAUAACGUCAUGCUGCCAAAACAAGCCAGCAAAUUAGAUCUGUGAAAAUACUAUUCUCUCUACGGUGGAAUGUGGAACUUAUUUUGCAGGGUCGGACACUAUCCUCAUAUUCAAAUUCUUCUGUGAUGUAUUCGGAGAAGGAACCCGCCUUGCAAUGCUGAAGACAAUACUGCGCGCCAGACUCAUCGUCAUUGAAGCCUGGUUCAGGGGUUACUGAGGGAGUCCUGGAUUAGGGGUCUCCGGACAGCCGGACUAUCUCUAUUUGCCGGACUGUUAGACUAUGAAGAUACAAGAUUGAAGACUUCGUCUCGUGUCCGGAUGGGACUCUACUUGGCGUGGAAGGCAAGCUACGCAAUACGGAUAUGGAUAUCUCCUCCUUGGUAACCGACCUUGUGUAACCCUAACCCUCUCCGGUGUCUAUAUAAACCGUAGGGUUUUAGUCCGUAGGACAACAAUCACAGCAUACAAUCAUACCAUAGGCUAGCUUCUAGGGUAUAGCCUCUCUGAUCUCGUGGUAGAUCUACUCUUGUACUACCCCUAUCAUCAAUAUUAAUCAAGCAUGACGUAGAGUUUUACCUCCAUCAAGAGGGCCCAAACCUGGGUAAAACAUCGUGUCCCCUGCCUCCUGUUACCAUCCGGCCUAGACGCACAGUUUGGGACCCUGAGGGAGUCCUGGAUUAGGGGGUGUUCGGGUAGCCGGACUAUACCUUCAGCCGGACUCCUGGACUAUGAAGAUACAAGAUUGAAGACUUCGUCCCGUGUCCGGAUGGGACUUUCCUUGGCGUGGAAGGCAAGCUUGGCGAUGCGGAUAUUCAAGAUCUCCUACCAUUGUAACCGACUUUAUGUAACCCUAACCCUAUCCAGUGUCUAUAUAAACCGGAGGGUUGUAGUCCGUAGGCAAUCAACUCCAUACAUAACAAUCAUACCAUAGGCUAGCUUCUAGCGUUGAGCCUCCUUGAUCUCGUGGUAGAUCUACUCUUGUACUACCCAUAUCAUCAAUAUUAAUCAAGCAGGAGUAGGGUAUUACCUCCAUCGAGAGGGCCCAAACCUGGGUAAAACAAAGUGUUCCCUGCCUCCUGUUACCAUCCGGCCUAGACGCACAGUUCGGGAUCCCCUACCCGAGAUCCGCCGGUUUUGACACCGACAUUGGUGCUUUCAUUGAGAGUUCCUCUGUGUCGUCGCCUUUAGGCCCGAUGGCUCCUUUGAUCAUCAAUAACGAUACGGUCCAGGGUGAGAUUUUUCUCCCCGGACAGAUCUUCGUCUUCGGCGGCUUCCCUCUGCGGGCCAAUUCGCUCGGCCACCUGGAGCAGAUCGAAAGCUACGCCCCUGGCCAUCAGGUCAGGUUUGGAUGCCUAAACUACACGGCUGACAUCCACGGGGACUUGAUCUUCGACGGAUUCGAGCCACAGCCAAGCGCACCGCACUGUCUCGAUGGGCAUGAUAUAGCUCUGCCGCCAAAAGCGCCUGGAAGGCCGCAUACGCAUCGGUUCCGACCCCUAACUCGGAGCCUGUUGCGCCAAUCGAGGAUGAGCGGUUGGACGUCACCUCGGGGGCUGCGAUCCCAAAAGCGAUCGAGCCAAACGCUAGCUCCGCACUCUNNNNNNNNNNNNNNNNNNNNNNNNNNNNNNNNNNNNNNNNNNNNNNNNNNNNNNNNNNNNNNNNNNNNNNNNNNNNNNNNNNNNNNNNNNNNNNNNNNNNNNNNNNNNNNNNNNNNNNNNNNNNNNNNNNNNNNNNNNNNNNNNNNNNNNNNNNNNNNNNNNNNNNNNNNNNNNNNNNNNNNNNNNNNNNNNNNNNNNNNNNNNNNNNNNNNNNNNNNNNNNNNNNNNNNNNNNNNNNNNNNNNNNNNNNNNNNNNNNNNNNNNNNNNNNNNNNNNNNNNNNNNNNNNNNNNNNNNNNNNNNNNNNNNNNNNNNNNNNNNNNNNNNNNNNNNCCCCCGCCAAUCGAAUCCGAUGGGGCGCCGAUAAUGAAGUUCACCACCAUAGACAUCUUUCAACACUCGCCUUGUGGCAAUAUCCUGAACUCUCUCAAGUCUCUCUCCUUAUUAGGAGAGCCCUGGCCGAACUAUGGUCAACGAGGAUGGGAUACGGACGAUGAAGAAAUUCAAAGCCCACCCACCACCCACUUGGUAGCCACUGUCGACAAUUUAAACGACGUGCUAAACUUCGACUCCGGAGACAUCGACAGCAUGGAUGACGAUGCAGGAGAUACCGACGAACCAACGCCCAUAGGGCAUUGGACAGCCACCUCAUCUCACGAUGUGUACAUGGUGGAUACCCCUAAAGGAAGCGACAACGAGGAAAAAGGGGAUGGGACGGGAGAUCGACCCCCCGAAAAACAAUCAAAGCAUCGGCGUAAACGCCGACCCAAGCCCCGCCUCGACAAAAACCCAGCCAUAGAGCAGGACGAGCCGGUAGACGACGAGCAGGCCUUAGAGCAACCGUCUGAACAGGGCAACACGGAUAGAGAAACCAAACAUCCCUCCCCCGGCGAAAACGGCAUUACGGACUACCUCACGCCGAAUAAACCUAUGGAGCAGAAGAAUCUCCACGAGAAGCUCGUUGCAACUGCACGCAGCCUAAAGAAGCAGAAGCGGAAGCUAAAAACAGCGGAAGACGCACUCUGGAUUAGAUGGAGCAAAGUAAUCAAUACCACAGAUAAGUACGGCGACAGUCGCUGCACUAAAAGCUAUCCGAAAAGAAAGCUACUGUCUGAAUUCAACGAAGAGGCCCUAGAGCCCUCGCAUUCGAAACAUGAAAAAGCCACACGGUCGGAUAGACGACCCCAUAAAGCGGCAAGCGGCGCCGCACCUAAAUCGGCAUGUGACCCACUUAAGGAUUCGCAUCAUGGCCCAGUCAGGUCCAUUUAUGGGCCAAGAAAGCAAGCUCUCGUAAGCAACGCUAUGAAGCCAUCAUCAGAAUCCGGCAUACCCAAAUACAGGGGCGCCGCACACCCCCUAUGUUUCACCGAUGAGGUCCUAGACCAUGAAUUCCCAGAGGGAUUCAAACCCGUAAACAUAGAGGCAUAUGAUGGAACAACAGACCCAGGAGUCUGGAUCGAGGAUUAUAUCCUCCACAUACACAUGGCUAGAGGAGAUGAUCUCCACGCCAUAGAAUAUCUACCCCUUAAGCUUAAAGGGCCAGCCCGGCAUUGGCUUAAAAGCCUUCCCGAAAACACAAUUGGAAGCUAGGAAGAGCUCGAGGAUGCUUUCCGAGCAAACUUUCAAGGGACCUAUGUCCGCCCUCCGGAUGCAGACGAUCUUAGUCACAUAACUCAACAACCCGGAGAAUCAGCUCGGCAGUUCUGGAAUAGAUUCCUCACUAAAAAGAAUCAGAUAGUCGACUGUCCGGACGCCGAAGCCUUAGCAACUUUCAGGCAUAACGUCCGAGACGAAUGGCUCGCCAGAUACCUCGGCCAAGAAAAGCCAAGAACAAUGGCCGCACUAACAAGCCUCAUGACCCGCUUUUGUGCAGGGGAGGACAGCUGGUUGGCAGGGUGCAGCCCCAGUGACCCAAGUACAUCCAAAACUAGGGAUGGAAAUGGAAAACCGCGACGCAACAAGGACCGUCGCUGGACUAAGGACAAAAGUCCAAAGAGCACGGCAGUCAAUGCCGGAUUCAAAGGCUCACGACAAAAAUAGGAAAAAUCGCCCCCCGGGAUAACAGGGACGAUCCAUCCAACCUAAAUAAAAUCCUGGACAGGAUAUGUCAGAUACACAGUACUCCCGGGAAGCCUGCUAACCAUACCCACAGAGACUAUUGGGUUUUCAAACAAUCCGACAGACUAAAUGCCGAACACAAGGGGCUCGACACACCAAGCGAAGACGAGGACGAACCCCAAAAGCAGAGCACCAGGAAACAAAAGAGCUUCCCACAAGAAGUAAAAAUAGUGAACUUACUUCACAUAACAAAACAUGCGGCGCCCGUAAAGGUAUGCACCACACGGCCCAUCCCCAAAGGGUCCCGCCACUGGUUGUCAAAACCAAUCAUCUUCGAUCAGCUGGAUUAUUCUAGGAAUAUCAAGAAUGUAGGCUGGACUGCCUUGAUACUCGAUCCAAUAAUUGGCGGACUCCAGUUUUCAAAUGUCCUUACGGACGGCGGCAGUGGACUAAACCUGAUAUAUCAGGAUACAAUCCAGCACAUGGGGAUAAACCCAGCAAGAAUCCGUCGCAGCAAAACCUCCUUUCAAGGGGUAAUACCUGGUCCGGACACCCAUUGUAUGGGUUUUCUCCAGCUCGAAGUCAUAUUCGGCUCGGUCGAUAACCUCCGCCGCGAAAAGCUGACCUUCCAUAUCGUCCCGUUCUCAAGUCGCUAUCAAGCACUACUGGGACGCGAAGCUUUCGCUCGCUUUAACGCAAUACCGCAUUAUGCAUCUCUUAUGCUUAAGAUGCCCGGUCCACGAGGCAUCAUCUCUUUGAAGGGGAAGCACUAAAGUGCGCCUCCCCAAGCGGAGGACUGUGUGGCCGCUUUGACAGCCCCACAGCAAAACGGCCUCACCGGCCAGAAAACUUCAAAAUAGGUCAUUAAAGACCACGAACGCGGAUAGACGAGUUCGGUGCAAAAUCAUCAUUGACGCAGCCCUAGAAGCCAUAUACCCCCGCACUAGGGGCUCCACUCAUAUACAAUAAGAGACAAUAAAGCUCAACAUAUCUUACUUUAUACUUUGUUUAUUUUAAUUUUUUUUCGGCACGACCCAUUUUCAACUCAGUUCCUCUCUUUUACAGAUGAACGUCGUGCGGCGCCCGUCCAGGAUACGGCACAACGGAGACACAGGCGCAGACGUGCAGUAGGGACCCGUCCUAAAGGAUUCUUUUUAGAUUAAGACCCUGCGUAAACCUUUUUUACUGUCUCUUGUUGCUACACAUCCCCUGGUUUUUUCUUUCUGAUAUAACCAAGGAGGAGGCUGGCGUCUUGGCAUGUGGCCACGUCAGAAUUUUUGCACGUACCUGGACACUAGGGGCUUUUUUUAAUAAAGAGUGUUGUUUCGCCCGCACUCAUAAAGACCGAACACCUUAGGGAGUGUUCGGCGUCGCGAGUUUUGGCAUUAUAUGCAUCAGCUCCGAAUCAUGUCUUUGGUCAAAUGUUGGGUUGCCCGGCUCCUGAGUUCGGCUACCUUACGUUCCGCUCUAUCGGCUAAGGUAGCACCAGGAGAACUACUGCGAUUGUGCCCCCGGUUCGGCCGGGCGAGCACCUCAGUAGAGAAAGCCAAAAACUGACUGUCAUGAUGUAGCGUGAGACUGGUCAGCCACUCGAUGACCUAUCAGAAUCUAUCGGAUUCCUCCGCUUUAACGAAGGGCCGCUUCCCGGUCAGGCACACACGCGCCCCGAAUUCGGACGAGCGCAGUUGCCACCAAGGAGCUACCUAAAGAGUCUCAUUGUAAAACACCUAUGGCUAAGUGAAAGUGUUAAAGCAUUAUAGUCUGGUUGCCUGGCCCGCUGCGCUAUCACCUCCUUUGUAGGACCAAGACGUUGGGUUAAGUGUGAAAAUGCGUCUUUUGCGAGCACCCCCGCACUAUGUGCGUGGGGGCUGAAGCCAACGACUGCCAUCUUUCAGAUUAUAUAUAUAUAUAUAUAUAUAUAUAUAUAUAUAUAUAUAUAUAUAUAUAUAUCUUAAAACGGCCGCAUAGGAGGUGUUCCCAAUACUUGGAGGCAUAAGUACAAAAAAGGCCACUACAGUUUAUCAAAAUAUUACUUUAUAAUUACAUAUGCUAUCAUAACAUAGCAUCUUUCGAGCACUGCGUCUCUAUUAUACGAGCGCCUUCAAGAACUUCCUGAAAAUAGUGCUCGGAGGAUACUCGGCUUUUGUCCGAAUCUCGGGACGCAACAAUGGUGGUCUUCAUCUCUGCCCAGUAUGUCUUAACAUGGGCAAGAGCCAUCCUAGCGCCCUCUAUGCAUGCUGACCUCUUCAUUGCAUUUAUACGCGGCACCGCGUCAAGGAAUUGCUACACCAAGCUGAAGUAACUCUUUGGCUCCGAUCUCCCCGGCCACAGGCGACCCAUGACGUACUUCAUGGCGAGUCCAGACAACCUAUUUAGUUCGGCCCAUUGAGCCAAACGAUCAUCCACUGACAGUGGACGCUCUGGAUUGUGAAACUGCGACCAGAAAAGCUUUUCCACUUCGCGAUCUUUCUGAUCUCGAAAGUGUUCGGUCGCAUCAGCAGCACUCACUGCCAAAUCCAGAUAGGUAUCCUCCACCCUCCACAUCCGGUCCAACGGAGCAAACUUCGUAUCACAAAACUUCCUCCGCGGCAUAAAGGGCUUUCCAGCUGCAAUCUGUUCGGCCUGACGCAGCUCCUCCCUUGCAGCUCUCAUCGCAGAGCGAGCAUCCUUGGCAUCGGCAACGGCCUUCUCUAAGUCCGUCUGUCUCGCCCGGUCUUCUUUCUCAAGAAGUUUGCAACGGUCUGCAGUGCUCUUUAACUUCUCGGCCAUCUCGGCCAUUACUUCUUUGCUUCGGCAGUGAGCAGCCUAUUCGGCUUUCAGCUCUUCAAGGGCCUUCUCAGCAGCCGCAUCGCUUUUUCUAGCUUGCUCCUUAGCUCGAGCAAGUUCUGCCCUAAGAUUCUCCACAGCGGCUGUACCAUCUGCGUCAAGCAUACACAUUGUAAGACACUGACAUGAAGCUCCUCUUACAUGAUGCCACCCGAAGAAUUACAUACCUUGAGCCUCAUCAAGCUGCUUGUUGACAAGCGCGAUGUCGGCGUCUGCCACGUCCAGUUGCCGCUUUAGUUCGGCCACAUCAUCAGUUCGGCUUGAUUCCGGACACCUCGCCACCUACAUUCAAAGGCGACAUCUUAGUCCUGGGAUUAUGAUCCUCCGCGUGCCGUCAUUUCUUGACAACGCGCAGAGUCUCAGGGGCUACUAUCUAUACAGGGCGCAUCUUACUUAUGCGCAACUGACAAAAGUGUACAUUAUCUAACGUACCUCAAAACCCGUCAGUAAACUUUUGACGGCCUCAUCCAAUCCGCUUUCUGUGGAUGAAAUCCUUUCAAUCACCGUGCCCAUCAAUGCACGGUGCUCCUCUGAGAUAGAAGCUCGACCCAGCAGAAUCUUCAGCUCCUCCGGUCGAGCACCAGAUGGUGUCGGGCUUGUCCUAUGGCCUCUUUCAAAGGCCGGACGCGGAGAGCCUUGGGAGCCCACAUAGCUAUCUUCCGCCCCUGCCGGAUUCAGAGAAACCCUUUGUGACGACACCUCAGGGUCGCCCGCCUCGCUAGGCGGUACGGCAGGGGGAGGCGUCCCGCUCUCCAUCAUCUCCAGAAGAAGAUCCCCCGAAGACGAGCUCUACUGAGAAGGGCUGAGGUCCGAGCUACAAGGUAAAAUUUCGGUUAAUCUUCUCAGAUAUAAAUCAAGGAUUUCUCUCAUCCCUCAAAAGGAAAACCUCUCUCUACUUACGGCUCGCUGGAGGGCUGAUCCCCUUGAGGGCGUAGUCCGGCCGAGGAACUCCCCGGUGUCGGACCCUCUGACGAGGAUUUUCUCCCCCGUUUCAAGGCCAUUGUUUCCGGGUCGUCAGAGGCGGCUCUCUUCUUCCCCUUAGGAGAGGAAUUGUCGGUUCCUCCCUUCGGGGCAGCCUCCUUUGAGGAGGCCAUAGCUUCCUUGUCCUCCCCCUCCAAAGGCAUUAUCUCCAGCAUCCUGACUAGCACGGGAUCCACCCUGGUUUCAGGAAGGGGAGCCGUACACCUGAUCAGCUUUGCCUUCGCUAUCCACUCCUGUUUAAAAGGACGGCUCAUUUAGGGGCAAGUUUAUGACAAUUAUACGGAUAGAAGGUCCGGGCACAGGGUUGCUUACUUGAGUAUCCGGGCGAUUGCAGCUUAGGCCUGCGUCUUCGGUUAAAUCCGGACACAUCUCUUUGAAGGAAAUAUGCCCUAGAGGCAAUAAUAAAGUUAUUAUUUAUUUCCUUAUAUCAUGAUAAAUGUUUAUUAUUCAUGCUAGAAUUGUAUUAACCGGAAACAUAAUACAUGUGUGAAUACAUAGACAAACAGAGUGUCACUAGUAUGCCUCUACUUGACUAGCUCAUUAAUCAAAGAUGGUUAUGUUUCCUAACCAUGAACAAGGAGUUGUUAUUUGAUUAACGGGAUCACAUCAUUAGGUGAAUGAUCUGAUUGACAUGACCCAUUCCAUUAGCUUAGCACCCAAUCGUUUAGUAUGUUGCUAUUGCUUUCUUCAUGACUUAUACAUGUUCCUAUGACUAUGAUAUUAUGCAACUCCCGUUUGCCGGAGGAACACUUUGUGUGCUACCAAACGUCACAACGUAAAUGGGUGAUUAUAAAGGUGCUCUACAGGUGUCUCCAAAGGUACAUGUUGGGUUGGCGUAUUUCGAGAUUAGGAUUUGUCACUCCGAUUGUCGGAGAGGUAUCUCUGGGCCCUCUCGGUAAUGCACAUCACAUAAGCCUUGCAAGCAUUGCAACUAAUGAGUUAGUUGCGAGAUGAUGUAUUAUGAAACGAGUAAAGAGACUUGCCGGUAACGAGAUUGAACUAGGUAUUGAGAUACCGACGAUCGAAUUUCGGGCAAGUAACAUACCGAUGACAAAGGGAACACCGUAUGUUGUUAUGCGGUCUGACCGAUAAAGAUCUUCGUAGAAUAUGUAGGAGCCAAUAUGAGCAUCCAGGUUCCGCUAUUGGUUAUUGACUGGAGACGUGUCUCGGUCAUGUCUACAUUGUUCUCGAACCCAUAGGGUCCGCACGCUUAAGGUUUCGAUGACAGUUAUAUUAUGAGUUUAUGAGUUUUGAUGUACCGAAGUUAGUUCGGAGUCCCGGAUGUGAUCGCGGACAUGACGAGGAGUCUCGAAAUGGUCGAGACAUAAAGAUUGAUAUAUUGGACGGCUAUAUCGGACACCGAAAGUGUUCCGGGUGAUUUCGGAGAAAACCGGAGAGCCGGAGGGUUACCGGAACCCCCCCGGGAGAAGUAAUGGGCCAUAUGGGCCUUAGUGGAGAGAGAGAGGGGCAGCCAAAGGUGGGCCGCAUGCCUCCUCCCCCCUGGUCCGAAUUGGACUAGGAGGGGGGGCGGCGCCCCCCUUUCCCUCUCCCUCCCCACUUCCUUCCCCCUCCUAGUGGGAGUCCUAAUCCUACUAGGAGGAGGACUCCUCCUUGGCGCGCCUAUAGGGCCGGCCGGCCUCCUCCCCUUGCUCCUUUAUAUACGGGGGCAGGGGGCACCCCUAGACACACAAGUUGAUCCACGUGAUCAUAUUCUUAGCCGUGUGCGGUGCCCCCUUCCACCAUAGUCCUCGAUAAUAUUGCAGCGGUGCUUAGGCGAAGCCCUGCGACGGUAGUACAUCAAGAUUGUCACCACGCCGUCGUGCUGACGGAACUCUUCCCCGACACUUUGCUGGAUCGGAGUCCGGGGAUCGUCAUCAAGCUGAACAUGUGCUAGAACUCGGAGGUGCUGUAGUUUCGGUGCUUGAUCGGUCAGGCCAUGGAGACGUACGACUACAUCAACCAAACGCUUCCAUUGUCGAUCUACAAGGGUACGUAGAUCACACUCUCCCCUCUCAUUGCUAUGCAUCACCAUGAUCUUGCGUGUGCGUAGGAAUUUUUUUGAAAUUACUACGUUCCCCAACAGUGGCAUCCGAGCCUAGGUUUUAUAUGUUGAUGUUAUAUGCACGAGUAGAACACAAGUGAGUUGUGGGCGAUAUAAGUCAUACUGCUUACCAGCAUGUCAUACUUUUGUUCGACGGUAUUGUUGGACGAAGCGGCCCGGACCGACAUUACGCGUGCGCUUACGCGAGACUGGUUCUCCCGACGUGCUUUGCACAUAGGUGGCUUGCGGGUGACAGUUUCUCCAACUUUAGUUGAACCGAAUGUGGCUACGCCCGGUCCUUGCGAAGGUUAAAACACCACCAACUUGACAAACUAUCGUUGUGGUUUUGAUGCGUAGGUAAGAUUGGUUCUUGCUUAAGCCUGUAGCAGCCACGUAAAACUUGCAACAACAAAGUAGAGGACGUCUAACUUGUUUUUGCAGGGCAUGUUGUGAUGUGAUAUGGUCAAUACAUGAUGCUAAAUUUUACUGUAUGAGAUGAUCAUGUUUUGUAACCGAGUUAUCGGCAACUGGCAGGAGCCAUAUGGUUGUCGCUUUAUUGUAUGCAAUGCAAUCGCGCUGUAAUGCUUUACUUUAUCACUAAGCGGUAGCGAUAGUCGUGGAAGCAUAAGAUUGGCGUGACGACAACGAUGCUACGAUGGAGAUCAAGGUGUCGCGCCGGUGACGAUGGUGAUCACGACGGUGCUUCGAUGGAGAUCACAAGCACAAGAUGAUGAUGGCCAUAUCAUAUCACUUAUAUUGAUUGCAUGUGAUGUUUAUCUUUUAUGCAUCUUAUCUUUCUUUGAUUGACGGUAGCAUUAUAAGAUGAUCUCUCACUAAUUAUCAAGAAGUGUUCUCCCUGAGUAUGCACCGUUGCGAAAGUUCUUCGUGCUGAGACACCACGUGAUGAUCGGGUGUGAUAGGCUCUACGUUCAAAUACAACGGGUGCAAAACAGUUGCACACACGGAAUACUCAGGUUAUACUUGACGAGCCAAGCAUAUACAGAUAUGGCCUCGAAACACAGAGACCGAAAGGUCGAGCGUGAACCAUAUAGUAGAUAUGAUCAACAUAGUGAUGUUCACUAAUGAAACUACUCCAUCUCACGUGAUGAUCGGACAUGGUUUAGUUGAUUUGGAUCACGUAAUCACUUAGAGGAUUAGAGGGAUGUCUAUCUAAGUGGGAGUUAUUUAAAGUAAAUUAAUUGAACCUAAAUUUAUCAUGAAACUUAGUACCUGAUAGUAUCUUGCUUGUUUAUGCUUCAUUGUAGAUAGAUGGCUCGUGUUGUUGUUCCGUUGAAUUUUAAUGUGUUCCUUGAGAAAGCAAAGUUGAAAGAUGAUGGUAGCAAUUACACGGACUGGGUCCGUAACUUGAGGAUUAUCCUCAUUGCUGCACAGAAGAAUUACUUCCUGGAAGCACCGCUGGGUGCCAGGCCUGCUGCUGGGGCAACACCAGAUGUUAUGAAAGUCUAGCAGAGCAAAGCUGAUGACUACUCGAUAGUUCAGUGUGCCAUGCUUUACGGCUUAGAAUCGGGACUUCAAUGACGUUUUGAACGUCAUGGAGCAUAUGAGAUGUUCCCGGAGUUGAAGUUAAUAUUUCAAGCAAAUGCCCGGAUUGAGAGAUAUGAAGUCUCCAAUAAGUUCUAUAGCUGCAAGAUGGAGGAGAACAGUUCUGUUAGUGAGCAUAUACUCAAAAUGUCUGGGUAUAAUAAUCACUUGAUUCAAUUGGGAGUUAAUCUUCCAAAUGAUUGCGUCAUUGACAGAAUUCUCCAAUCACUGCCACCAAGCUACAAGAGCUUCGUGAUGAACUAUAAUAUGCAAGGGAUGAAUAAGACUAUUCCUGAGCUCUUCGCAAUGCUGAAAGCUGCGGAGGUAGAAAUCAAGAAGGAGCAUCAAGUGUUGAUGGUCAACAAGACCACUAGUUUCAAGAAAAAGGGCAAAGGGAAGAAGAAGGGGAACUUCAAAAAGAACAGCAAGCAAGUUGCUACUCAAGAGAAGAAACCCAAACCUGGACCUAAGCCUGAAACUGAGUGCUUCUACUGCAAGCAGACUGGUCACUGGAAGCGGAACUGCCCCAAGUAUUUGGCAGAUAAGAAGGAUGGCAAGGUGAACAAAGGUAUAUGUGAUAUACAUGUUAUUGAUGUGUACCUUACUAAUGCUCGCAGUAGCACCUGGGUAUUUGAUACUGGUUCUGUUGCUAAUAUUUGCAACUCGAAACAGGGACUACGGAUUAAGCGAAGAUUGGCUAAGGACGAGGUGACAAUGCGCGUGGGAAACGGUUCCAAAGUCGAUGUGAUCGCAGUCGGCACGCUACCUCUACAUCUACCUUAGGGAUUAAUAUUAGACCUAAAUAAUUGUUAUUUGGUGCCAGCGUUAAGCAUGAACAUUAUAUCUGGAUCUUGUUUGAUGCGAGACGGUUAUUCAUUUAAAUCUGAGAAUAAUGGUUGUUCUAUUUAUAUGAGUAAUAUAUUUUAUGGUCAUGCACCCUUAAAGAGUGGUCUAUUUUUAUUGAAUCUCGAUAGUAGUGACACACAUAUUCAUAGUGUUGAAGCCAAAAGAUGCAGAGUUGAUAAUGAUAGUGCAACUUAUUUGUGGCACUGCCGUUUAGGUCAUAUCGGUGUAAAGCGCAUGAAGAAACUCCAUACUGAUGGACUUUUGGAACCACUUGAUUAUGAAUCACUUGGUACUUGCGAACCGUGCCUCAUGGGCAAGAUGACUAAAACACCGUUCUCCGGUACUAUGGAGAGAGCAACAGAUUUGUUGGAAAUCAUACAUACAGAUGUAUGUGGUCCGAUGAAUAUUGAGGCUCGUGGCGGAUAUCGUUAUUUUCUCACCUUCAAAGAUGACUUAAGCAGAUAUGGGUAUAUCUACUUAAUGAAACACAAGUAUGAAACAUUUGAAAAGUUCAAAGAAUUUCAGAGUGAAGUAGAAAAUCAUGGUAACAAGAAAAUAAAAUUCCUAUGAUCUGAUCGUGGAGGAGAAUGUUUGAGUUACGAGUUUGGUGUACAUUUGAAAAAUUGUGGAAUAGUUUCGCAACUCACGCCACCCGGAACACCACAGCGUAAUGGUGUGUCCGAACGUCGUAAUCUAACUUUACUAGAUAUGGUGCGAUCUAUGAUGUCUCUUACUGAUUUACCGCUAUCGUUUUGGGGAUACGCUCUAGAGACGGCCGCAUUCACGUUAAAUAGGGCACCAUCAAAAUCCGUUGAGACGACGCCUUAUGAACUGUGGUUUGGCAAGAAACCAAAGUUGUCGUUUCUGAAAGUUUGGGACUGCGAUGCUUAUGUGAAAAAGCUUCAACCUGAUAAGCUCGAACCCAAAUCGGAGAAAUGUGUCUUCAUAGGAUAUCCAAAGGAGACUAUUGGAUACACCUUCUAUCACAGAUCCGAAGGCAAGACUUUUGUUGCUAAGUUCGGAAACUUUCUAGAGAAGGAGUUUCUCUCGAAAGAAGUGAGUGGGAGGAAAGUAGAACUUGACGAGGUAACUGUACCUGCUCCCUUAUUGGAAAGUAGUGCAUCACAGAAAACUGUUUCUGUAACACCUACAACAGUUAGUGAGGAAGCUAAUGAUGAUGAUCAUGAAACUUCAGAACAAGAUACUACUGAACCUCGUAGAUCAACCAGAGUAAGAUCCACGCCAGAGUGGUACGGUAAUCCUGUUCUGGAAGUCAUGCUACUAGAUCAUGAUGAACCUACGAACUAUGAAGAAGCGAUGGUGAGCCCAGAUUCCGCAAAAUGGCUUGAAGCCAUGAAAUCUGAGAUGGGAUCCAUGUAUGAGAACAAAGUAUGGACUUUGGUUGACUUGCCCGAUGUUCGGCAAGCAAUUGAGAAUAAAUGGAUCUUCAAGAAGAAGACUGACGCUGACGGUAAUAUUACUGUCUACAAAGCUCGACUUGUCGCAAAAGGUUUUCGACAAGUUCAAGGGAUUGACUACGAUGAGACCUUCUCACCCGUAGCGAUGCUUAAGUCUGUCCGAAUCAUGUUAGCAAUUGCCGCAUUUUAUGAUUAUGAAAUUUGGCAGAUGGAUGUCAAAACUGCAUUCCUGAAUGGAUUUCUGGAAGAAGAGUUGUAUAUGAUGCAACCAGAAGGUUUUGUCGAUCCAAAGGGAGCUAACAAAGUGUGCAAGCUCCAGCGAUCCAUUUAUGGACUGGUGCAAGCCUCUCGGAGUUGGAAUAAACGCUUUGAUAGUGUGAUCAAAGCAUUUGGUUUUAUACAUACUUUUGGAGAAGCCUGUAUUUACAACAAAGUGAGUGGGAGCUCUGUAGCAUUUCUGAUAUUAUAUGUGGAUAACAUAUUACUAAUUGGAAAUGAUAUAGAAUUUCUGGAUAGCAUAAAAGGAUACUUGAAUAAGAGUUUUUCAAUGAAAGACCUCGGUGAAGCUGCUUACAUAUUAGGCAUUAAGAUCUAUAGAGAUAGAUCAAGACACUUAAUUGGACUUUCACAAACCACAUACCUUGACAAAGUUUUGAAGAAGUUCAAAAUGGAUCAAGCAAAGAAAGGGUUCUUGCCUGUGUUACAAGGUGUGAAGUUGAGUAAGACUCAAUGCCCGACCACUUCAGAAGAUAGAGAGAAAAUGAAAGAUGUCCCCUAUGCUUCAGCCAUAGGCUCUAUCAUGUAUGCAAUGAUGUGUACCAAACCUGAUGUGUGCCUUGCUAUAAGUCUAGAAGGGAGGUGCCAAAGUAAUCCAGGAGUGGAUCACUGGACAGCGGUCAAGAACAUCCUGAAAUACCUGAAAAGGACUAAGGAUAUGUUUCUCAUAUAUGGAGGUGACAAAGAGCUCAUCGUAAAACGUUACGUUGAUGCAAGCUUUGACACUGAUCUGGACGAUUCUAAAUCGCAAGCCGGGUAUGUGUUUACAUUAAACAGUGGAGCUGUCAGUUGGUGCAGUUCUAAACAAAGCGUUGUAGCGGGAUCUACAUGUCAAGCAGAGUACAUAGCUGCUUCGGAAGCAGCAAAUGAAGGAGUCUGGAUGAAGGAGUUCAUAUCUGAUCUAGGUGUCAUACCUAGUGCAUCGGGUCCAAUGAAAAUCUUUUGUGACAAUACUGGUGCAAUUGCCUUAGCAAAGGAAUCCAGGUUUCACAAGAGAACCAAGCACAUCAAGAGACGCUUCAAUUCCAUCCGGGAUCUAGUCCAUGUGGGAGACAUAGAGAUUUGCAAGAUACAUACGGAUCUAAAUGUUGCAGACCCGUUGACUAAGCCUCUUCCACGAGCAAAACAUGAUCAGCACCAAGGCUCCAUGGGUGUUAGAAUCAUUACUGUGUAAUCUAGAUUAUUGACUCUAGUGCAAGUGGGAGACUGAAGGAAAUAUGCCCUAGAGGCAAUAAUAACGUUAUUAUUUAUUUCCUUAUAUCAUGAUAAAUGUUUAUUAUUCAUGCUAGAAUUGUAUUAACCGGAAACAUAAUACAUGUGUGAAUACAUAGACAAACAGAGUGUCACUAGUAUGCCUCUACUUGACUAGCUCGUUAAUCAAAGAUGGUUAUGUUUCCUAACCAUGAACAAGGAGUUGUUAUUUGAUUAACGGGAUCACAUCAUUAGGUGAAUGAUCUGAUUGACAUGACCAAUUCCAUUAGCUUAGCACCCGAUCGUUUAGUAUGUUGCUAUUGCUUUCUUCAUGACUUAUACAUGUUCCUAUGACUAUGAGAUUAUGCAACUCCCGCUUGCCGGAGGAACACUUUGUGUGCUACCAAACGUCACAACGUAAAUGGGUGAUUAUAAAGGUGCUCUACAGGUGUCUCCAAAGGUACAUGUUGGGUUGGCGUAUUUCGAGAUUAGGAUUUGUCACUCCGAUUGUCGGAGAGGUAUCUCUGGGCCCUCUCGGUAAUGCACAUCACAUAAGCCUUGUAAGCAUUGCAACUAAUGAGUUAGUUGCGAGAUGAUGUAUUACGAAACGAGUAAAGAGACUUGCCGGUAACGAGAUUGAACUAGGUAUUGAGAUACCGACGAUCGAAUCUUGGGCAAGUAACAUACCGGUGACAAAGGGAACAACGUAUGUUGUUAUGCGGUCUGACCGAUAAAGAUCUUCGUAGAAUAUGUAGGAGCUAUUGGUUAUUGACUGGAGACGUGUCUCGGUCAUGUCUACAUUGUUCUCGAACCCGUAGGGUCCGCACACUUAAGGUUUCGAUGACAGUUAUAUUAUGAGUUUAUGAGUUUUGAUGUACCGAAGUUAGUUCGGAGUCCCGGAUGUGAUCACGGACAUGACGAGGAGUCUCAAAAUGGUCGAGACAUAAAGAUUGAUAUAUUGGACGGCUAUAUUCGGACACCGGAAGUGUUCCGGGUGAUUUCGGAGAAAACCGGAGAGCGGGAGGGUUACCGGAACCCCCCCCCCCCGGGAGAAGUAAUGGGCCAUAUGGGCCUUAGUGGAGAGAGAGAGAGGGGCAGCCAAAGGUGGGCCGCGCGCCUCCUCCCCCCUGGUCCGAAUUGAACAAGGAGGGGGGGCGCCCCCCUUUCCCUCUCCCUCCCCACUUCCUCCCCCCUCCUAGUGGGAGUCCUACUCCUACUAGGAGGAGGACUCCUCCUUGGCUCGCCUCUAGGGCCGGCCGGNNNNNNNNNNNNNNNNNNNNNNNNNNNNNNNNNNNNNNNNNNNNNNNNNNNNNNNNNNNNNNNNNNNNNNNNNNNNNNNNNNNNNNNNNNNNNNNNNNNNNNNNNNNNNNNNNNNNNNNNNNNNNNNNNNNNNNNNNNNNNNNNNNNNNNNNNNNNNNNNNNNNNNNNNNNNNNNNNNNNNNNNNNNNNGACUCCUCCUGGCGCGCCACACCUUGGCCGGCCGGCCCCCCUCCCUUGAACCUUUAUAUACGGAGGCAGGGGCACCCCUAGAGACACAAGUUGAUCCACGUGAUCAUAUUCUUAGCCGUGUGCGGUGCCCCCUUCCACCAUAGUCCUCGAUAAUAUUGUAGCGGUGCUUAGGCGAAGCCCUGCGACGGUAGUACAUCAAGAUCGUCACCACGCCGUCGUGCUGACGGAACUCUUCCCCGACACUUUGCUGGAUCGGAGUCCGGGGAUCGUCAUCGAGCUGAACGUGUGCUAGAACUCGGAGGUGCCGUAGUUUCGGUGCUUGAUCGGUCGGGCCAUGGAGACGUACGACUACAUCAACCAAACGCUUCUGUUGUCGAUCUACAAGGGUACGUAGAUCACACUCUCCCCUCUCGUUGCUAUGCAUCACCAUGAUCUUGCGUGUGCGUAGGAAUUUUUUUGAAAUUACUACGUUCCCCAACACUCUUGUGAUCCGAAGAACAUUCUAUACAUCUCCACGGGCGUUGCGCCCAUAAAACUCUGGAGAGCUCCUGGUCCCUCCAGAUUAAACUCCCACAGGCGAAGGGGGCGACGUUUGCCGGGCAAUAUUCGGCGAAUCAGCAUGACCUGCGUCACCUUGACCAAACUGAGGUCUCCUUCCAAGAGAUCCUUAAUUCGGCCCUAUAACAGGGGCACGUCUUUGGGCAAACCCCAAUCUAAUCCUUUGUUGACCCAUGACGCUAGCCGAUGGGGGACCCGAGCGAAAGGCAGGAGGCGCCGCCCACUUGGCGCUCCUGGGAGCGGUGAUAUGGAACCAUUCUCAUUGCCACAAGCCGAGCUCCUCUUGAAAGGAGUCCUCGGGCCAUGGAGCAUCAGCAUUCUUACUUAUGACAGCGCCUCCGCACUCUGCGUGCCGUCCCUCGAUCAUCUUCGGCUCCAAUCCAAAAGUCUUGAGCCAUAAUCCGAAGUGAGGAGUAACAGGAGGAACGCUUCACACACAACAAUGAAUGAGUAAAUGUGGAGGAUGGACUCCGGGGCUAAGUCAUGAAAUUCCAGUCCAUAAUAAAACAGCAGCCCCCUCACGAAGGGAUCCAUCGGGAAGUCUAACCCCCGAAGGAAGUGAGACAUGAACACUACGCUCUCACCGGGCUGGGGACUGGUGUUGGGUUUCGUAGUAAUUUCAAAAAUUUUCCUACGCACACGCAAGAUCAUGUGAUGCAUAGCAACGAGGGGAGAGUAUUGUCUACGUACCCAACGCAGACCGACUGCGGAAGCGAUGACACGACGUAGAGGAAGUAGCCGUACGUCUUCUCGAUCCAACCGAUCAAGCACCGAAACUACGGCACCUCCGAGUUCGAGCACACGUUCAGCUCGAUGACGAUCCCCGGACUCCGAUCCAGCAAAGUGUCGGGGAAGAGUUCCGUCAGCACGACGGCGUGGUGACGAUCUUGAUGAACUACAGCAGCAGGGCUUCGCCUAAACUCCGCUACAGUAUUAUCGAGGAAUAUGGUGGCAGGGGGCACCGCACACGGCUAAGGAAUAGAUCACGUGGAUCAACUUGUGUCAACUUGUGUCUUUGGGGUGCCUCUACCUCAGUAUAUAAAGGAGCCAAGGGGGGGAGGGGGGCGCCGGCCAAGGAGGAGGGUGCAGGAGGAGUUCUACUCCUACCGGGAGUAGGACUCCCCCCCCCCAAUCCUAUUCCAACUAGGAUUCCCAAGGGGGAAAGAGGGAGAGGGGUGGCCGGCCACCUCUCCUAGUCCUAAUAGGACUAGGGGAAGGGGGGAGGCGCGCAGCCCCCUUGGGCUGCCCCUUUCUCCUUUCCACUAAGGCCCAUGAAGGCCCAUAUGGCUCCCGGGGGGUUCCGGUAACCUCCCGGUAACCCGGUAAAAUCCCGAUUUCACCCGGAACACUUCCGAUGUCCAAGCAUAGGCUUCCAAUAUAUCAAUCUUUAUGUCUCGACCAUUUCGAGACUCCUCGUCAUGUCCGUGAUCACAUCCGGGACUCCGAACAACCUUCGGUACAUCAAAAUGCAUAAACUCAUAAUAUAACUGUCAUCGUAACCUUAAGCGUGCGGACCCUACGGGUUCGAGAACAAUGUAGACAUGACCGAGACACGUCUCUGGUCAAUAACCAAUAGCGGGACCUGGAUGCCCAUAUUGGUUCCUACAUAUUCUACGAAGAUCUUUAUCGGUCAGACCGCAUAACAACAUACGUUGUUCCCUUUGUCAUCGGUAUGUUACUUGCCCGAGAUUCGAUCGUCGGUAUCCAAUACCUAGUUCAAUCUCGUUACCGGCAAGUCUCUUUACUCGUUCCGUAAUACAUCAUCUCACAACUAACAUAUUAGUUGUAAUGCUUGCAAGGCUUAUGUGAUGUGUAUUACCGAGAGGGCCCAGAGAUACCUCUCCAACAAUCGGAGUGACAAAUCCUAAUCUCGAAAUACGCCAACCCAACAUCGACCAUUGGAGACACCUGUAGUAGUCCUUUAUAAUCACCCAGUUACGUUGUGACGUUUGGUAGUACCCAAAGUGUUCCUCCGGUAAACGGGAGUUGCAUAAUCUCAUAGUCAUAGGAACAUGUAUAAGUCAUGAAGAAAGCAAUAGCAACAUACUAAACGAUCGGGUGCUAAGCUAAUGGAAUGGGUCAUGUCAAUCAGAUCAUUCUACUAAUGAUGUGACCUCGUUAAUCAAAUAACAACUCAUUGUUCAUGGUUAGGAAACAUAACCAUCUUUGAUUAACGAGCUAGUCAAGUAGAGGCAUACUAGUGACAAUUUGUUUGUCUAUGUAUCCACACAUGUAUUAUGUUUCCGGUAAAUACAAUUCUAGCAUGAAUAAUAAACAUUUAUCAUGAUUAUAAGGAAAUAAAUAAUAACUUUAUUAUUGCCUCUAGGGCAUAUUUCCUUCAGUCUCCCACUUGCACUAGAGUCAAUAAUCUAGAUUACACUGUAAUGAUUCUAACACCCAUGGAGCCUUGGUGCUGAUCAUGUUUUGCUCGUGGAAGAGGCUUAGUCAACGGGUCUGCAACAUUCAGAUCCAUAUGUAUCUUGCAAAUCUCUAUGUCUCCCACCUGUACUAGAUCCCGGAUGGAGUUGAAGCGUCUCUUGAUGCGUUUGGUCCUUUUGUGAAAUCUGGAUUCCUUUGCCAAGGCAAUUGCACCAGUAUUGUCACAAAAGAUUUUCAUUGGACUCGAUGCACUAGGUAUGACACCUAGAUCGGAUAUGAACUCCUUCAUCCAGACUCCUUCAUUUGCUGCUUCCGAAGCAGCUAUGUAUUCCGCUUCACAUGUAGAUCCCGCUACGAUGCUUUGUUUAGAACUGCACCAACUGACAGCUCCACCGUUUAAUGUAAACACGUAUCCGGUUUGCGAUUUAGAAUCGUCCGGAUCAGUGUCAAAGCUUGCAUCAACGUAACCUUUUACGAUGAGCUCUUUGUCACCUCCAUAUACGAGAAACAUAUCCUUAGUCCUUUUCAGGUAUUUCAGGAUGUUCUUGACCGCUGUCCAGUGAUCCACUCCUGGAUUACUUUGGUACCUCCCUGCUAAACUUAUAGCAAGGCAUACAUCAGGUCUGGUACACAGCAUUGCAUACAUGAUAGAUCCUAUGGCUGAUGCAUAGGGAACAUCUUUCAUAUUCUCUCUAUCUUCUGCAGUGGUCGGGUAUUGAGUCUUACUCAAUUUCACACCUUGUAACACAGGCAAGAACCCUUUCUUCGCUUGAUCCAUUUUGAACUUCUUCAAAAUUUUGUCAAGGUAUGUGCUUUGUGAAAGUCCAAUUAAGCGUUUUGAUCUAUCUCUAUAGAUCUUAAUGCCUAAUAUGUAAGCAGCUUCACCGAGGUCUUUCAUUGAAAAACUUUUAUUCAAGUAUCCCUUUAUGCUAUCCAGAAAUUCUAUAUCAUUUCCAAUCAGUAAUAUGUCAUCCACAUAUAAUAUCAGAAAUGCUACAGAGCUCCCACUCACUUUCUUGUAAAUACAGGCUUCUCCGAAAGUCUAUAUAAAACCAAAUGCUUUGAUCACACUAUCAAAACGUUUAUUCCAACUCCGAGAGGCUUGCACCAGUCCAUAAAUGGAUCGCUGGAGCUUGCACACUUUGUCAGCUCCCUUUGGAUCGACAAAACCUUCUGGUUGCAUCAUAUACAACUCUUCUUCUAGAAAUCCAUUCAGGAAUGCAGUUUUGACAUCCAUCUGCCAAAUUUCAUAAUCAUAAAAUGCGGCAAUCGCUAACAUGAUUCGGACGGACUUAAGCAUCGCUACGGGUGAGAAGGUCUCAUCGUAGUCAAUCCCAUGAACUUGCCGAAAACCUUUUGCGACAAGUCGAGCUUUGUAGACAGUAACAUUACCAUCAGCGUCAGUCUUCUUCUUAAAGAUCCAUUUAUUCUCAAUUGCUUGCCGAUCAUCGGGCAAGUCAACCAUAGUCCAUACUUUGUUCUCAUACAUGGAUCCCAUCUCGGAUUUCAUGGCUUCAAGCCACUUUGCGGAAUCUGGGCUCACCAUCGCUUCUUCAUAGUUCGUAGGUUCAUCAUGAUCUAGUAGCAUGACUUCCAGAACAGGAUUACCGUACCACUCUGGCGCGGAUCUUACUCUGGUUGAUCUACGAGGUUCAGUAGUAUCUUGAUCUGAAGUUUCAUGAUCAUUAUCAUUGGCUUCCUCACUAACUGGUGUAGGUGUCACUGAAACAGUUUUCUGUGAUGAACUACUUUCCAGUAAGGGAGCAGGUACAGUUACCUCGUCAAGUUCUACUUUCCUCCCACUCACUUCUUUCGAGAGAAACUCCUUCUCUAGAAAUGAUCCAUUCUUAGCAACGAAUGUCUUGCCUUCGGAUCUGUGAUAGAAGGUGUUCCCAACAGUUUUCUUUGGGUAUCCUAUGAAGACACAUUUCUCCGAUUUGGGUUCGAGCUUAUCAGGUUGAAGCUUUUUCACAUAAGCAUCGCAGCCCCAAACUUUAAGAAACGACAACUUUGGUUUCUUGCCAAACCACAGUUCAUAAGGCGUCGUCUCAACGGAUUUUGAUGGUGCCCUAUUUAACGUGAAUGCGGCCGUCUCUAAAGCACAACUCCAAAAUGAUAGCGGUAAAUCUGUAAGAGACAUCAUAGAUCGCACCAUAUCUAGUAAAGUACGAUUACGACGUUCGGACACACCAUUGCGCUGUGGUGUUCCGGGUGGCGUGAGUUGUGAAACUAUUCCACAGUUUUUCAAAUGUACACCAAACUCGUAACUCAAAUAUUCUCCUCCACGAUCAGAUCGUAGAAACUUUAUUUUCUUGUUACGAUGAUUUUCAACUUCACUCUAAAAUUCUUUGAACUUUUCAAAUGUUUCAGACUUAUGCUUCAUUAAGUAGAUAUAUCCAUAUCUGCUCAAAUCAUCUGUGAAGGUGAGAAAAUAACGAUAUCCGCCUCGAGCCUCAAUAUUCAUUGGACCACAUACAUCGGUAUGUAUGAUUUCCAACAAAUCUGUUGCUCUCUCCAUAGUACCGGAGAACGGUGUUUUAGUCAUCUUGCCCAUGAGGCACGGUUCGCAAGUACCAAGUGAUUCAUAAUCAAGUGGUUCCAAAAGUCCAUCAGCAUGGAGUUUCUUCAUGCGCUUUAUACCGAUAUGACCUAAACGACAGCGCCACAAAUAAGUUGCACUUUCAUUAUCAACUCUGCAUCUUUUGGCUUCAACAUUAUGAAUAUGUGUAUUACUACUAUCGAGAUUCAAUAAGAAUAGACCACUCUUCAAGGGUGCAUGACCAUAAAAGAUAUUACUCAUAUAAAUAGAACAACCAUUAUUCUCUGAUUUAAAUGAAUAACCGUCUCGCAUUAAACAAGAUCCAGAUAUAAUGUUCAUGCUCAACGCUGGCACCAAAUAACAAUUACUUAGGUCUAAUAUUAAUCCCGAAGGUAGAUGUAGAGGUAGCGUGCCGACUGCGAUCACAUCGACUUUGGAACCGUUUCCCACGCGCAUCGUCACCUCGUCCUUAGCCAAUCUUCGCUUAAUCCGUAGCCCCUGUUUCGAGUUGCAAAUAUUAGCAACAGAACCAGUAUCAAAUACCCAGGUGCUACUGCGAGCAUUGGUAAGGUACACAUCAAUAACAUGUAUAUCACAUAUACCUUUGUUCACCUUGCCAUCCUUCUUAUCCGCCAAAUACUUGGGGCAGUUCCGCUUCCAGUGACCAGUCUGCUUGCAGUAGAAGCACUCAGUUUCAGGCUUAGGUCCAGACCUGAGUUUCUUCUCUUGAGCAGCAACUGGCUUGCUGUUCUUCUUGAAGUUCCCUUUCUUCUUUCCUUUGCCCUUUUUCUUGAAACUAGUGGUUUUGUUAACCAUCAACACUUGAUGCUCCUUUUUGAUUUCUACCUCCGCAGCUUUCAGCAUUGCGAAGAGCUCGGGAAUAGUCUUGUUCAUCCCUUGCAUAUUAUAGUUCAUCACGAAGCUCUUGUAGCUUGGUGGCAGUGAUUGGAGAAUUCUGUCAAUGACGCAAUCAUCCGGAAGAUUAACUCCCAAUUGAAUCAAGUGAUUAUUAUACCCAGACAUUUUGAGUAUAUGCUCACUGACAGAACUGUUCUCCUCCAUCUUGCAGUUGUAGAACUUAUUGGAGACUUCAUAUCUCUCAAUUCGGGCAUUUGCUUGAAAUAUUAACUUCAACUCCUGGAACAUCUCAUAUGCUCCAUGACGUUCAAAACGUCGUUGAAGUCCCGAUUCUAAGCCGUAAAGCAUGGCACACUGAACUAUUGAGUAGUCAUCAGCUUUGCUCUGCCAGACGUUCAUAACAUCUGGUGUUGCUCCAGCAGCAGGCCUGGCACCCAGCGGUGCUUCCAGGACGUAAUUCUUCUGUGCAGCAAUGAGGAUAAUCCUCAAGUUACGGACCCAGUCCGUGUAAUUGCUACCAUCAUCUUUCAACUUUGCUUUCUCAAGGAACGCAUUAAAAUUCAACGGAACAACAGCACGAGCCAUCUAUCUACAAUCAACAUAAACAAGCAAGAUACUUUCAGGGACUAAGUUCAUGAUAAAUUUUAAGUUCAAUUAAUCAUAUUACUAAAGAACUCCCACUUAGAUAGACAUCCCUCUAAUCCUCUAAGUGAUCACGUGAUCCAAAUCAACUAAACCAUGUCCGAUCAUCACGUGAGAUGGAGUAGUUUCAUCGGUGAACAUCAUUAUGUUGAUCAUAUCUACUAUAUGAUUCACGCUCGACCUUUCGGUCUCCGUGUUCCGAGGCCAUAUCUGUAUAUGCUAGGCUCGUCAAGUUUAACCUGAGUAUUCUGCGUGCGCAACUAUUUUGCACCCGUUGUAUUUGAACGUAGAGCCUAUCACACCCGAUCAUCACGUGGUGUCUCAGCACGAAGAACUUUCACAAUGGUGCAUACUCAGGGAGAACACUUCUUGAUAAUUUAGUGAGAGAUCAUCUUAUAAUGCUACCGUCAAUCAAAGCAAGAUAAGAUGCAUAAAAAGAUAAACAUCACAUGCAAUCAAUAUAAGUGAUAUGAUAUGGCCAUCAUCAUCUUGUGCCUGUGAUCUCCAUCUCCGAAGCACCGUCAUGAUCACCAUCGUCACCGGCGCGACACCUUGAUCUCCAUCGUAGCAUCGUUGUCGUCUCGCCAAUCUUAUGCUUCCACGACUAUCACUACCGUUUAGUAAUAAAGUAAAGCAUUACAUCGCGAUUGCAUUGCAUACAAUAAAGCGACAACCAUAUGGCUCCUGCCAGUUGCCGAUAACUCGGUUACAAAACAUGAUCAUCUCAUACAAUAAAAUUCAGCAUCAUGCCUUGACCAUAUCACAUCACAACAUGCCCUGCAAAAACAAGUUAGACGUCCUCUACUUUGUUGUUGCAUGUUUUACGUGGCUGCUACGGGCUUAAGUAAGAACCAAUCUCACCUACGCAUCAAAACCACAAUGAUAGUUUGUCAAAUAGACUCCGUUUUAACCUUCGCAAGGACCGGGCGUAGCCAUACUUGGUUCAACUAAAGUUGGAGAGACAGUCGCCCGCAAGCCAUCUCUGUGCAAAGCAUGUUGAGGGAACCGGUCUCGCGUAAGCGUACGCGUAAGGUUGGUCCGGGUUGUCUCGUCCAACAAUACCGCCGAACCAAAGUAUGACAUGCUGGUAGGCAGUAUGACUUGUAUCGUCCACAACUCACUUGUGUUCUACUCGUGCAUAUAACAUCAACAUAAAUAACCUAGGCUCGGAUGCCACUGUUGGGUUUCGUAGUAAUUUCAAAAAAAUUCCUACGCACACGCAAGAUCAUGUGAUGCAUAGCAACGAGGGGAGAGUAUUGUCUACGUACCCAACGCAGACCGACUGCGGAAGCGAUGACACGACGUAGAGGAAGUAGCCGUACGUCUUCUCGAUCCAACCGAUCAAGCACCGAAACUACGGCACCUCCGAGUUCGAGCACACGUUCAGCUCGAUGACGAUCCCCGGACUCUGAUCCAGCAAAGUGUCGGGGAAGAGUUCCGUCAGCACGACGGCGUGGUGACGAUCUUGAUGAACUACAGCAGCAGGGCUUCGCCUAAACUCUGCUACAGUAUUAUCGAGGAAUAUGGUGGCAGGGGGCACCGCACACGGCUAAGGAAUAGAUCACGUGGAUCAACUUGUGUCAACUUGUGUCUUUGGGGUGCCUCUACCUCAGUAUAUAAAGGANNNNNNNNNNNNNNNNNNNNNNNNNNNNNNNNNNNNNNNNNNNNNNNNNNNNNNNNNNNNNNNNNNNNNNNNNNNNNNNNNNNNNNNNNNNNNNNNNNNNNNNNNNNNNNNNNNNNNNNNNNNNNNNNNNNNNNNNNNNNNNNNNNNNNNNNNNNNNNNNNNNNNNNNNNNNNNNNNNNNNNNNNNNNNNNNNNNNNNNNNNNNNNNNNNNNNNNNNNNNNNNNNNNNNNNNNNNNNNNNNNNNNNNNNNNNNNNNNNNNNNNNNNNNNNNNNNNNNNNNNNNNNNNNNNNNNNNNNNNNNNNNNNNNNNNNNNNNNNNNNNNNNNNNNNNNNNNNNNNNNNNNNNNNNNNNNNNNNNNNNNNNNNNNNNNNNNNNNNNNNNNNNNNNNNNNNNNNNNNNNNNNNNNNNNNNNNNNNNNNNNNNNNNNNNNNNNNNNNNNNNNNNNNNNNNNNNNNNNNNNNNNNNNNNNNNNNNNNNNNNNNNNNNNNNNNNNNNNNNNNNNNNNNNNNNNNNNNNNNNNNNNNNNNNNNNNNNNNNNNNNNNNNNNNNNNNNNNNNNNNNNNNNNNNNNNNNNNNNNNNNNNNNNNNNNNNNNNNNNNNNNNNNNNNNNNNNNNNNNNNNNNNNNNNNNNNNNNNNNNNNNNNNNNNNNNNNNNNNNNNNNNNNNNNNNNNNNNNNNNNNNNNNNNNNNNNNNNNNNNNNNNNNNNNNNNNNNNNNNNNNNNNNNNNNNNNNNNNNNNNNNNNNNNNNNNNNNNNNNNNNNNNNNNNNNNNNNNNNNNNNNNNNNNNNNNNNNNNNNNNNNNNNNNNNNNNNNNNNNNNNNNNNNNNNNNNNNNNNNNNNNNNNNNNNNNNNNNNNNNNNNNNNNNNNNNNNNNNNNNNNNNNNNNNNNNNNNNNNNNNUCCUUUAUAAUCACCCAGUUACGUUGUGACGUUUGGUAGUACCCAAAGUGUUCCUCCGGUAAACGGGAGUUGCAUAAUCUCAUAGUCAUAGGAACAUGUAUAAGUCAUGAAGAAAGCAAUAGCAACAUACUAAACGAUCGGGUGCUAAGCUAAUGGAAUGGGUCAUGUCAAUCAGAUCAUUCUACUAAUGAUGUGACCUCGUUAAUCAAAUAACAACUCAUUGUUCAUGGUUAGGAAACAUAACCAUCUUUGAUUAACGAGCUAGUCAAGUAGAGGCAUACUAGUGACAAUUUGUUUGUCUAUGUAUCCACACAUGUAUUAUGUUUCCGGUAAAUACAAUUCUAGCAUGAAUAAUAAACAUUUAUCAUGAUUAUAAGGAAAUAAAUAAUAACUUUAUUAUUGCCUCUAGGGCAUAUUUCCUUCAACUGGGAAUAACCUGCCUUUGAGUAGGCAACCUAUGUGGAAUUUCGGCGGUCAAGAACUUAGCCUCUCUCAACUUUAGCACGUCCUCCUCCGUGACGGAAGAGGGCAUCCAUUGGCCUUGAAGGUCGGAACCGGACAUUGUCGAAGGUCCGAAGCGCCUGGAAUUUGGAGCCUAGGGUGUUGGAACUCGAGGCGACGGGCGAACUCGUUUGAGAUUGGAAAAAUGAGUAAGGCCUUGGUCUCUUUAUAAGAGGUAGAAUACCAGGAGCCCUCCCCGUAACCGUUUGGGACUCGCCUUUAAUCGAGAAAACAAGCUAACGGGCACGAUUGGGUUACCCACGUCCGUAUUGAUGAGAAUCCCGUAAAAGGAAGGCACACGAUCUCUGCUUUGACAAGACGUGCCAAGGAAACCGCCUCGCAAAACAUGCUGAGGUGGAAAAGUAAAAAUGAUUCGAGUAAAGAACUUGGCCGUAGUGUGAUGACGCACUACGGAAUACGUCAGCAGAUUUGAUUUGUGUUAAUAUUAUUCUCUCUAUGGCAAUAUGUGGAAACUUAUUUUGCAGAGCCGGACACUACUAUUGGUGUUUACAAUCUUCUAUGAAGGACUUGGAGGAGGAACCCGCCUUGCAAUGCCGAAGACAAUUUGCGCGCCGGACUCGUCGUCAUUGAAGCCUGGUUCAGGGGCUACUGAGGGAGUCCUGGAUUAGGGGGUGUUCGGGUAGCCGGACUAUACCUUCAGCCGGACUCCUGGACUAUGAAGAAACAAGAUGGAAGACUUCGUCCCGUGUCCGGAUGGGACUUUCCUUGGCGUGGAAGGCAAGCUUGGCGAUGCGGAUAUUCAAGAUCUCCUACCAUUGUAACCGACUUUAUGUAACCCUAACCCUAUCCGGUGUCUAUAUAAACCGGAGGGUUGUAGUCCGUAGGCAAUCAACUCCAUACACAACAAUCAUACCAUAGGCUAGCUUCUAGGGUUUAGCCUCCUUGAUCUCGUGGUAGAUCUACUCUUGUACUACCCAUAUCAUCAAUAUUAAUCAAGCAGGAGUAGGGUAUUACCUCCAUCGAGAGGGCCCGAACCUGGGUAAAACAAAGUGUUCCCUGCCUCCUGUUACCAUCUGGCCUAGACGCACAGUUCGGGACCCCCUACCCGAGAUCCGCCGGUUUUGACACCGACAAUGUUAUUUUGAAAUAACCACGGACGCCGACCAGGGCCAGGCCCACCUCUCUCCUAGGUGAUCUCAACCUGCCCUGUCGCUCCGCCUCAAAGUAAUAGUCCGGGGCCGUCGGGAACUCAGGCCCACCACUACCUGGAUGGAGCCACCUGCCCCUUCAGCCCCCAACUCCGAACAGUACCACAUGUUAUGUAGCAGUGUAAAGUAUAUAGUAUAUGCCCGUGAUCACCUUCCGAAGUGAUCACGACCCAGUAGUAUAGCAUGGCAGACGGACAAGAGUGUAGGGCCACUGAUGGAACACUAGCAUCCUAUACUAAGCAGUAGGAUAGCAGGUAAUGGUAACAACAGUAGUAGCAAGGACAGGCUAUGCAUCAGGAUAGGAAUAACGGAAAGCAGUAACAUGCUACACUACUCUAAUGCAAGCAGUAUAGAGAAGAGUAGGCGAUAUCUGGUGAUCAAAGGGGGGGGGCUUGCCUGGUUGCUCCGGCAAGAGAGAGGGGCUGUCAACACCGUAGUCGUACUGGGUAGCAGCGGCGUCGGUCUUGGUGUCUAGCGAGAGAAGAGGGGGGAGAAACAAUAAAUAUAAUGCAAACAAUUGCAUGACGAUGCAUGACAUGACAAAGUGUGAUGCUAGGUGUGCCCUAACGCGGUACGAGGUGGUACCGGUGAAGGGGGAAAACAUCCGGGAAAGUAUUCCCAGUGUUUCGCGUUUUCGGACAGAUGAACCGGAGGGGGAAAGUUGCGUGUUUGCUAUGCUAGGGAUGCGUGGCGGACGAACGGGUUGCGUAUCCGGAUUCGUCUCGUCGUUCUGAGCAACUUUCAUGUACAAAGUUUUUUCAUCCGAGCUACGGUUUAUUUUAUAUUAAUUUCUAAAGUUUAAUAUUUUUCUAGAUUUAUUAUUAAUUUGAAUUAAAAACAGAAUAAACAUUCGUCACCUAGCUCUAUACUAGCCUGAGUGUAUGACCAGUGGGGUCCAGGAGUGGUCCAGUCAGUAGAGUUGACCCAGUCAACAUUUUACUGGUCAAAAGGUGAAUAGUGUUUAGGUCCCACUUGUCAUUGUCUCUGGCUUUAUUAUAACAAUCAUUUUUGUUUAACAAUAGUGGGGCCCUUCUGCCAUAGGAUCAUUGGGCAAAUUAGGUCCUAACUAAACUAACUAAAACUAGUUAGCACUAACUAAAAGGGGGUGGCCCCACUAAACAGCGGCUCAGCUGAGCCACACACGCGCGCGCACACAACACACACGGGCGCUCGGGCACACGGCCAUGGCCGGCGGCAGCAGCGGGCAGCGGGGCCGCCAAGGCCGGUCAGGACUAGGCGCGGGCGGCGGCCAACGAUAGGCGGUGUGGCGAGCGCGGCCGGCCGGAGGAGGGGGCCGGCUGCGGGAGCGCGCGGUAGGGGCGGCUGCGUCGGGCGCGUGGCCGCGGGCGGCGGAGCCGGUUGGCGCAAGCUGGGACAGCGCAGGCUCGCGUGAGGGGGAGCGGAGCGACGGGCGCGCAGGAGGAGGAGCGACGGGCGCGGGCGGGCGCCAGCGGGCGCGGGCCAGAACGGCCCUGGGGCCAGGGAGCGCGGCGGGGCAGCAGAGGUGCUUCGGCGACUGCGUGCUCGCGGUGAGCUCGGGCGUCAGGGAUUUGCGGACGAACGGAAGCAGAGGGGGUCAGGGGAGGAGGGGAAGCUCACGGGGCCCUGUAGUCGUGCGAAUGCGAGCUCGGGGAGGUCUCGGUGAAGACGAUGAUGCGGAUCGACGCGGUGGAUGAGGCGGAUGACCGGCGAAGGGGAUCGACGACUGCGGCGGCUUGGGUCCAUCUAGUGGGUGCAGGCGAAGCCGAUGACGACGAGGGUCCUCCUGGACACCUCGGGACGGCGAGGCUUGGCCGGUGGCCAUGGCAAUGGUGAGCGGUAGUGAUGGGUCCGCCCGGAUGAGCUCACGAACGAGAGGGGGAGCGAGGGGAAGGGGAAAGUGGGCGCUAGGGUUUUUGGUGAGGGAGAGAGGGGCGUCCGGGGGACUAGUAGGCGACGGGGGGGCAUGGAUGCCCGGCGCGUGUCCACGGUCGGCCAUGGCACCGUGGAUGCGUGGCCGCGAUCCCCCCUGAUGAACAGAGGAGGGGGAAAGGUGGUAACUGGGCCGGCGUGGCGGUUAUGGCCCGGGGAAGCUUGGGGGCCUUUUUCUUAAAUCCCUUUCUAUUAUUUUCUCUUUUGUUUUCUUUCUUUUUUUUGUUCUAUACUUUCUCUUAGCAUUGAACCAUUUUUUUAAAAAUGUGUGGCUGGUCUACAAAAUCAGUUUGCAAUAUACUUCACUACCUCAAACAGUUUGGGAGUGAUUUGAAUCAAUUUGGAAUUUUCAUAAAUUAUAAAACAAUUUAAAUGUUGUUUUGGGCACUGCUUUAAUCAGCUUAAGGCCUUUAAUCAAUUUAUAAAACAUUGGUUUCUCCACCACAAUUAACUUUGCAUUAUUUGGUACAACCGGGACAUUUUAGUUUUAAAGUUUGAAAACUCUUACCAUUUGACUUGCUUUUGACUUUUGAUUUCGAACGGGAUUGAAUCGUCGUGAGUUUAACAACAGUAAUUGCGGUGA
rnacentral:lncRNA from 1 species